UGAGGUGUGGUUUGAAUUUCGCGGACGAAAUUCUUUUAAGGGGUGAAGAAUGUAACCUAACGAAACCUCGGUAAGCCCUAAUGGACUUUAGCCAAAUUGACUAAAGUAUGCGAAAGAAAUAAUCGAACAAGUUCUAUUUAACAAUCCAACAGUGUUGGAAGGCUAGAAAUGAGUUCUAAAGGAGUUAGAAGGGUUUUGCCAUCGAUCGGUGUGAAAUAGAAUCGAAACGGAGCCAAAAACCAAGUCUUGGCAAAGUAUACCGGUACAACCAUCGAGUUGUAACCGGUACAGAUAAGUGUACCGAUAUAAAUGAAAGUGUACCGGUACUGUCACGCCCCGGGACCGGUAGGGGCCUUCCCGGUAGCGUGCCCAGACCCCCAUAUGUCAACACAUAUAAGGCUCAUAUAAGUAACAGCGAAUAAACACAAGAAAUAAUACAAAUAGAAUAGUAACAACUAGUGAUAUCAGAGCGAUAAAAAUUCCAUCAACUCACCCAAAGUGAAGAAAUAAAGUUAGACAAUAAAGAAACCAUAAGUAGUACAAUAACUGUCUCUAUACAAAAGUGUGGUCUCUAGUACAUGGUAAAACCCUAAACUCUCGCAAAAUAAAAUAAGACAUCGAGAGGUAGACCACCUACCAACUCGUCCAUCAAGGAAGCUAGCUCAGUACAAACGCCCUUCCCGCGAUCCCUGGCCUCACCCUGCGUGGAAGGCUCUGAAAAAUAUCGAGAAAAAGAGGGCGUGAGAACUAUAAUUUAUAGUUCCCAGUGGGCAAUUACUGACCUCAGCUCAAUGCAUCACUAGGCCCCAAAAGAAAAGGGUAAGUACAAUAACAAUAGCAAUAAUGACUGCGAUAUGAAAGCCUAAUUAAGAUGCUAAAUUACCAAACUCAAGUAUAAACGAUGUCAUGGUGAUGUACAUCUACGAUAUCGAAAUAGUAAAUCAUUAACUUUUAUGAAUACAUUAUGCAUCAGUUCUGUCAUGGCAACCAAGUAUGCUUUAAUGCAAAAGGAGACUAACAAGUAUACUAUAUGUCUCGACCCUAUGCUAAAAGCAUAUAAAUGUCAUUCAACUACUAAACCUAUCUAGUAGUGAUUAACCACUCUCAACCCCGUGUCGAUUUCCAUUUCCACUUAAGGACCUACCAAAGGUAGUCCAGCUUGUGCCGCCUAAGUGCCUGUGGUAGCCCAACAUUCCUACUCUUGGAAUGUGUCUGUCCCACUCGACUCCGUAGGCUUCUCAAUACCGCACGAGCGAACAUAGGUCGCUAGGCUAACUCCGGAGUGCCGGCUUGUAGGGAGCGACCCUCACAAGCAUGUGCGAAUGAGCACAAAUGGCAAGCAAGCAUAGUCCAAGUCUCAAGUAUCCAAUCCUCAUGUCUCUAUCAUGGUAUAGUCACUAGCAUCCCAAAGAUCUAGUUUAAGUCACAAUGGAAGUUCCAACAUUCUCUAGGUCUAGUGCCCCUUUAUGACACUUAGACAUUUAAUGUUUAAGCAUGUUCCACAUUCCUCAAUGGCCCUAUCCACUAGGUUCGCACAUGUCCCGAGCUCAAUGCCGCUUGAUGACAUUAGCUCUCUAGUUCACGCACCUUCUAAAUGGCAAUUUGUCAUCUUUCAUGUCACAAGUAAACUCAAGUCUAAAUGCAUGAAUCCGAACUCAUUUAUACUAUAGAAGCAUGAAAUCAAGUCUCAUAAAGAAUGCUAAAUGCAACCAAAAAUCUCCCAAGCAACUCUCUACUACAUAGAGGUCCAAAAUUUCACUAUAUAUAACAUAUGCAUUUUAAGCAUUCUAAAAAUCAUAAUAAAUACAUUUAGUAUGAACAUGCAUGCUUUUUCAAUUUACGGAACAUAUAUAACCACAUAUGAGAAUUUCUCAUAUGUAGGCUAGGUCAAACCCACCGAACCGUCGCGUAGAGCCUCGUUUCGCCGAAUAAAGUUGUCCACGAGUCUCAAAAUACCCUAAAAGUGAUCAGCGAAGAGAUACGAGGGCAUUACGACCAACCAUAAAAUCAAACAUUAAUCUAGAAGCAAAAAGGGCCAAAACUCACCUCAAGAGAAGAAAUCUCUUCCAAAGCUCCAAAAGAGAGCUAGAACCCUUCCAAUCCAAGCCCAAGGAAGGUUCUAAACCAAUUAAUCUAGCCUCAAAAGCCCUAGAUCAAAAAGCCCCAAAAUCAACCCUAAAUCUCAUUUCUAGGGUUCCAUCUACAAAAACUAUCAAAACAAGAUCUAGAGGAGGGAAAUGAGCAACAAACCUCCUUAGAAGCUCCAAUCCUAGCUCCAAGGGUGAAGAUCUCCUCCUAUGCAAGCUCCAAGUCCAAGCCUUCAAGCACCAACAAGGUGGGAAGAGGAAGAAAGGCAAAAGAAUGCUCCAAGCCCAAGCUAGAUCCUCCUCUUCUUCUCCUCCUUCCUCUCCUUCUCCUUCUUCUUCUUCUUCUCUAUCAAGGGUGUAGAGAGGGUUGAGAGAAGAGAAAUGGGGAGAGGAGAGAGUGGAUGGGUCAUAUAGACCCUCUAAUGUAACAAAAUCCCAAGAGGCCCCUCAAAAAAACAGUAUUACAUCAGCCCGGUCUGGGCAGUUUUCGCCCAGAGGGACCGGUCUCUCCCCAGCAGGGACCGGUCUCUCGCUGCGAACCCGAAAAACCAACGUUCGGGAACCGGUCUCUCCCUGCGCGGGACCGGUCUCUCACUGCGUAGACGCGCUCGGGGACCGGUCUCGCCCGCCAGGGACCGGUUGCCUCAGGGCUGCCGCAAUACUGCUCACUGGGGGACCGGUCUCUCCUUCCAGGGACCGGUCCCCGAGAGUAAAAACUCUCAGGACUUGUCCAGAAUUCCAGUUUUCGAACUUUUUAGGUCGGAAAACAUUCUACAACCCUCCACCAAGUGUGGAAAAGCUCGAAAUACAUCCAAACACUCGAACCUAGCAAUUUGCAAAGGUCCAGUGCGUCACAGGUACAAAUGCCCCAAACCCGAGGGAGCUGCUCUCGGGUUUGGUCAUACGCGAUCGUGUUACCGAUUACACGAGAAAGUGUACCGGUACACUUUGGGCUGACAGCAGGAAAUAGAUCUGCUGCAAAUAUAAUUUGUUUGGGGGUUUAUUUGCAAAUGUUGCACACUAUAUAUGCAACCAAACCUCUUUUCCUUCACAGCAACCCUCUCCUCUCCCAUUUUCUCUCCCUUUCUCUAUCUCUAGAAGCUUUGCACCAAGGCGAAUGAGAAGGAAAAGAAGGCUUAGAGAUAGAUUUUUGAGGGUUUUGAAAGAUCAAGAAGCUCUCCUUCAAGGUGGUCUUGGAAGAGCUUGGGCUAAGGUGAGUUAUUUUGCAAGAAUACAUCUAGGGUUUACAUUUCUACCCUAAGAUCUAGAGUUUUGAUCUUCUUGCAAGCUUUAGAAUCUUGUAGAGACUUGGAAACACAUGAAAAUCAUGUGUUUUUCAAGGUGCUCUAAUGGUAGAUUUCUAGGGUUUACUCCAAAAGCCCUAAGAAUGGUUUAGAUGAUUAUAGAUGAGCUUCUAGAUGUUGACCAAGCUUAUUUUUGCUUGCCUUAGAGAUGAAAAUGGUGGAAUGAGCAUAUGGCAUUAUUAGGGCACCAAAAUUGAGGCUUUUGUCAUAGAUGGGUUUAAAUGUAAAUUAACCCUAUGUAAACCUAAUUGAAGGUAUUUCCGACGCGUUGGCGAAGUCGGUUCGGCGAUUCAUCGAGCCUACGCGAAGAUAUUGAAGAAACGGACGUUGUGGCUUCGUUUCCGCCUGGAGGGCCGAGGCGACGUCCAAAAAAUCACGAGAUCGGAUCCGGAGCAUCUUAGCAUCAAGUUAUUGACCUUUAAUUUUCGGAUCGUGGAUUGAUGGCUGUUCGGGUGGUCGCGCGAGAGUUCGGGCCGAACCGGGUCACGGGUGCCGCGGGAGGCCAAUUGCAAGUGACUACGAGCAAUCAGAAAGCAAUUUGAGGUGGGUUAUGCUCACCGAAGCGACUAGGUUGCCUCUAUGUCUAAGACUAAUGGUAUCAUAUUGAUGCAUAUAAUGGUAGCUAAUGGUAAAUUAUGUGAAUGCAUGAAGUGAAUGCUAAGUAGGCUAUCAAAGGAUGCAUGAUGAUAUAAUAUGAAUGAUGCCAGUUAAAAGCAUAAGAUAAAUUGCCUUUGAUGUUAACAUAAAGUAAAGAACAUGCUAGUUGUAAUGCAUAAUGACAAAUUAUAAAGAAUGCUAGUUUGGAUAAGCAUGUUAUGUAAAUGCUAGAUAAUUGCAUGAAGGCAUGGUUAGCAUUGUGAGGACUAUGGAAUACUCAAAUUGGACAACUAAGAUGUCAACUAGAUCGAGUGGCAUUGAACCUAAUGUUAGUAAACAUAGGUUGGACAAGAAUGACAUUGAACCUAGUGUUAGUAAACAUAGAUUGGACAAGAGUGGAAAUGAACCCAGUGUUAAAAGAACAUAGGUUGAGAACUGAACCUAGAGUCAAGUAAACCUAGGUUGGAAAGGACAUUGGACCUAAGUGGGUCGACACUAUAGGGUUUAAGACCAACCCUUGAGCUAUGUGGAAAUGGAUUCGGGAAUCCCAAGACUUGGAACACCGAGAGUGGUGUUGGGCGUAUGCGACGAUUUCGCCGCGCGGGGCUAAAAACCAUUGUCGUGGCGUGUGCGACGAUUUCGCCGCCGGAUGGUUUAGCCAAUUUGUGGAUCAUACCGCCGGUUGACUUGAGCCAUUAUCAUGGCGUGUGCAACGAUUUCGCCGCCGGGUGGCUAAGUCAUGGAGUGUGGUGGGCUAUGGUUGGCUGAGGUGCUUGUGAGAGUUCCUUCACCUCGAGUUUGACAGAGCGCGGAUUAUCCGCAGUUGAUUGACUCAAGACCGAGUCGAAUGGCAUAGUGUGACUAAGGUAAGAGUAGCCUUAGGAAAGAAUGGCAAGUGAGCAUAUUAUGGCUAAGGUGCGAGUACCCUUAGUAAAGAAUAAAGAAUAGCUAAAAAUAAAGAGUGGCUAAUAAGAAAGAAUUGCAAGUAGUAAAGAAUGGCUAGCAAUAAAGAAUGAAAAUGAUAGAGAGUAAAAUCAUUUAUUUUACUUGCAUAGUUGCAUGGAUUUCAUAUCGCAUAUCGGGAGGCAUGACAUGUAGUUCAAUAUCGAUUAAAUGUAUAAAUAUCUGUUGUAUAUUUGGACUAACCUGUUGCAGUACCUCAUUAGAUCUAUUGGUUGAGGUUUUCCCAUGGGUGGCUGUACCCACUGGAAACUAUGGACAAUAGUUCUUACCCCCGUGUUGUUUUGGGGGGUACAGGUUCACACGUGAGCGGCGUGGCGGUGUAAGGAAAGGGCGUAGCUCAGUAGAUAGCGCCCUACCCCAGAGACAAGAGAUAGCAGUACCCCAAGGUGGUCUAGCUUAGGGGUUUAAAGACAAAGAACAAACUUGUAUUAAGUGAUGUAAUAACUAAUUGUAUUUUGGAAGAUGAAGGUAAAAGAGAAUUGUGAUGUAAAAUGUAUGUAAGAUGAAUGUCGUAAUAACCUAGUUGUUUUAUGUUUUUGAUACUUCCUUAUGCAAUCUUUGAUUGAAAUGUGUUUCUAAUUGGAACUUCAUACAUUGUAUUGAUUGCGACGCCUUGGACGUACAGGGGAGACUCUGUCCGCGGUACAGAAAAAAUCCUGUCCGUUCGGCGGUCUGUCGGCGUGCCCGAAUUCGACCAAAUAGGUGGGCUCGAGGCGUGACAGACUUAGACACUAGUAAUAAUAACUAGACUUAAGCAUUUUGGGCCGGUGUUUGGACCCAACAAGUUAUUGUUGCUAGUGGGCUAGGUCAUUACAACCAACCACCCACUCAACCCUAGGAGACCUACUUUAUCCUAACCGCACAUUUCUUAAUCCAAAGGCUAAAAAACUAAUAACAUCAAUAGCUUUUUGCUAUUGGUAGUAUUCCAGCUUAAUUCUCUCUCUCUCUCUCUCUCUCUCUCUCUCUCUCUCUCUCUCUCUCUAUAUAUAUAUAUAUAUAUAUAUAUAUAUAUAUAUAUAUAUAUAUAUAUAGACCUAGGCUGGAAUACUAUCAAUAGCAACAAGCUAUUGGUGCUAUUAGGUUUUCGGCCCUCAGAUGAAAAAAUGUACAAUUAUGAUGAUAUGGGCUCNUAUAUAUAUAUAUAUAUAUAUAUAUAUAUAGACCUAGGCUGGAAUACUAUCAAUAGCAACAAGCUAUUGGUGCUAUUAGGUUUUCGGCCCUCAGAUGAAAAAAUGUACAAUUAUGAUGAUAUGGGCUCUCUAGGGUUGAGUAAGUUAUUGGUUAAUAAUAUAAUCUAAUGGGUAAAAAUAGUUAAAGGGUUAAAUCUAACGGCGAAAAACUUUAUAGCACCAAAUGCUUGGCGUUAUCGAUAGUAUCCCAGCCGAACUAUAUAUAUAUAUAGAGUGGGCUGGUAUGCUUCUGGAAGCACGGAGCCCUACGUGCUUCCAAGUUGUUUUCGAUGCUCGGACUUUUGAAUCGACGAUCGGAGAGUAUUUGAAGCACCUAGAAAAUAAAUUUUGUGAUUUUUCGAUAUCAUUUGUCUAGUGAUCGAAGGGGCUCAAAAUCAAUAAUUUUAUCGGCCGUAGUGAGCCGUUUACAAGUUCAACGGUGUAGAAAUAUCCAAAUCACAUGAAAUUUUGAUAGAAAAUUCUUUAUACCGUAUAAAACAAGAUCAAUAACUUUAAUCUAAAAUUUUAAUGUCAUAUCAUCAUAUUUUGUAAGAUUUUUAUUUUCAGCCAUUGAUUUUGAGCCACUUCGAUCACUAGGCAAAUGAUAUCGAAAAAACGCAAAAAUUAUUUUCUAAAUACUUCAAAUACUCUAGAUCAAGUCUAACGGAGCCGAUCGUCGAUUCGAAAGUCCGAACAUCGAAAACAACUUGGAAGCACGGAGCGCUCCGUGCUUCCAGAAGCAUACCAGGCGCACUCUAUAUAUAUAUAUAUAUAUAUAUAUAUAUAUAGAAUUAGGCUGGAAUACUAUUAAUAGUAAAACGCUCUUUUUGCUAUCAAGUUUUUAACCCUUGGAUGAAAAAUUGUAGGGUCAGGAUGAUAUUAGUCGGUUAGAGUUGAGUGGUCCCCCUAGGGUUGAGUGGUCCCUACUGGGUUAUAGUAUUUAAUCCAAUGGUUAGAAAUAAUGAAAAGAGUUGAUCCAAAGGCUAAAAAACUGGUAGCAACAAUGAGAUUUUGCUACUAAUAGUAGCCCAGUCCAACUCUCUCUCUCUCUCUAUCUCUCUCUCUCUCUCUCUCUCUCUCUCUCUCUCUCUCUCUAUAUAUAUAUAUAUAUAUAUAUAUAUAUAUAUAUAUAAUUGAGUUAGAACACUUUUAGAAGCACCAACCCCUUGGUGCUUCUAGGUUUCUAGCACUUGGAUCUACUCCUUGAUUACUAAUAGCCCUUGGAUUAAACACUAUUCCACCUACCACCACCUACUACCACCUACCACCAUCAUCCCAACCUUACAUCUCUCCAUCCAAUGGCUAAAAACUCAAAAGCACCACCCUCUUUGUAACAUACCGGAUUUUUAAUUUAAAAGUGAAUAUAAAUAAAAAUAGUGUGAGAUACUAUUUUUAUUGGAUUUAAAGAGAUAAAAUAUAAGUCUGGAUCGUGCUGCAAUAAGAAUGAAAACAGAAGAUUUAGAAUUUUCUGUGCGAAAUGGGACUGAUAUUUUAGCAGAAAAUGCACAGUGUCAGAAAAUUAUGAAAACUGGAGAAUAUGUCAGAAUUAUGAAAACUGGAGAAUAUGUCAGAAUUAUGAAAACUGGAGAAUAUGUCAGAAUUAUUUUUAUGAUGCUAGAUUUAAAGUUUCAUGUCAUUCUGGCAUCCGGAAGGUGGAAAAUAAAAUCCGACUGCUAUUUGCUAGAGAUUACAGUUGGGUAGAGCUUUCGGUGAUCAAAUGUGAUCGAAACUGAAAGAUUAAAAUUUCUUUCGUUAAGUUAAAUAAAACCGAGUCUGACUGUCAAAUUUGAGCUGAAACGGACAUUCAGAAGGGCAGGCGAAAAAUAUUUGUACCUAAGCUGGAGAUGUAAUUUGUAAUAGUGCAUAAAUGGGAUUUAAUCCCUUUCUUUUUCUUCUCCACCAGCCGACCACCACCACCACCACCAUCACACGCGCAUGGUGCGGGAGAGAGAGAAAGCUUCCCUUCCUCUCUCUAGAUUUCUCUCUCAUCUCUCUAAAUCUCUCUCUAAAAAUUGGAGGGCUGGUGGAGAAGAAGCUUGGGAACGCGUUGGAGGUGUCGGUUCGGGUUCUCGUGCGGCCGUUUGAGCGGCAUGCUUUCGUCUCGACGUUCAAAUUUCGGUAAGUGUUUAGGACUUGGUUAAAUCCUUUAUGCUUAGUAUUCUAAUAACCCUUAGACUACUAAAUGCAUGUUUCUCCAUGAGAUUGUGGGACAUUUGGAGUAUAUGUACAUGCUAGGGCUUAGAAAUGGGCGUUUUGUCAUAGAUGGGGUUUAAUCUAAAUUGAACCUAUAUAAACCUAAUUGCUAGGUAUUCCGACGUGUUGGUGAAGUCGGUUCAGCGAUUCGUCGAGCCGGUGCGAAGAUAUUGAAGAAACGGACGUUUCGGCUUCGUUUCCGCCUGCAGGGCCGAGGCGACGUCCAAAAAUCACGAGAACGGAUCCAGAGCAUCGUGGCAUCAAGUUAUAGACCUUAAAUUUUCGGAUUGCGGAUUGGUGGCCGUUUGGUGGCCAAGUGCGAGUUCGGGCCGAACCGGGCAACAGGUGCCGCGGGAGGCCGAUUGCAAGUGACUACAAGCAAUCGGAACACGAUAACAGGUGGGUUGUGCUCACCGAAGAGAUUAGCUCGCUUCCAUGUCGAAGUGGUAUACGGUUUUAUCGUUGAUGCAUAUAUGUAUGUUUGGUAGGUUGCAAAUGAUAAUAUGGUGCAUGAUAUAAUUGCUAGAUGAAUGCAUGAAUUAUAUUAUGUUGAAAGAUGUUUGCCUACCAUUGGAAUAUGUUAGAUAAAACAUGCAUGUUGACAUAUUAUAGAUUAUGUUGGAUAAACUAUGCAUGUUGCUGUUUGCGACCACGAAUGACGCACCUCGCACGGUUAAUCUUAUUUUUGAUUUUUCACCGUGGGGUAGUAUUCAUGAUUCAGAUUAAUAUUUGAAUAUGUAUGAUUAUCAGGUAUUGUGGAUUCAUGGCUUCCAAUAAACGCAAGCGUCUAUUGUUAAUUACCCCUAUAAAGUGUUAGGGCACCUUCGAUUAAGAGACCUCUGAAAUGCUGAAAUAGACUGAAAUAUAAUAAAAGAUGGAUUUUAUAACACAAUCCGUUGUAUAGUUACAUAGCUUAACCAGGGGCAUACCCCCAGUGUACAUGAGUAUAAUAUGAUAUAAAAGAGAAAAUGAUUAGUUCAACGACAUAAUGGUUGAUUGAACUUAAUUUGGAUUACACCUAUAGUUUUAAAGGAUUAAUCCAAUUAGAUUUAACUAAAUCCUAGUUGUAUGUAUUAGGAUUUAGUUGGGUUUGAAUCGAUUAGACUCUAAUUGUAUGUGUCAGAGUCUAAUCGGAUUUGAGUCCACCAUAAGGUGCAGGAUGGCUAAAUCUACAUGUAUUAGAAUUAGCCGAUAGAUUAACUCUAAUUAUACAUAUUAGAGUCUAAUUAAUUUAAUUGAACUCUAAGCAUGUAUAUUAGAGUCAAACCAUAUUUAAGUUCACUCUAAGGUGAAGGAUGGCUAAAUACUAAAUAUAUAUAUUAGGAUUAGCCGAAAUUGAUUUAAAUUAAACUCUAAUUAUACAUAUUAGAGUCUAACUUGAUUUCUUAUGUUUGAACUCUAAGUAUAUGUAUUAGAGUCCAAUCGAUUUAAUUAUUUUUACCUUAGUCAUAUGUACUAAGAUAAAAAAAGAAAAAAAGACGAUUUGAUCAAUUCUAAGCAUAUAUUUAGAAUUUGAUCGAAUUUGAAUAUGGUUGUGAUUUGACUCUAGUUUUAUAUGCUAGAGAAUCGGGUUGAAAUAGGUUGUUUUUAAGGACUUGGUAUAGAGAAGAGGUUGGAUUAGGUUGUGCAUGAUUGAGGUUAGGUUUGGACUUUGAUUUGGUUAUUAUGGUAUAGGUUUCAUGUAUGGCUUGUCAAAUUUGGAUUGAAUUGAAAUUAAAGAUUGGGUUCAGCUUGGAUCAAUCCGGAAUAAAUAAUUGGGUUGGGUUUAUAUUUAGUCUUGGCAUGAACUUGGGCUCAUUCGGAGAUAUAAUUGGGUUGGGUUUAUAUUUAGUCUUGGACAUGAACUUAGGCCCAUUCGGAGAUAUAAUUGGGUUGGGUUUGGAUUUUUGUCUUGGACAUGAACUUAAGCCCAUUCGGAGAUAUAACUGGGUUGGGUUUGGAUUUUGUUUUGGACAUGAACUGGGCCCAUUUGGAGAUAUAAUUGGGCUGGGUUUAUAUUUGGUCUUGGACAUGAACUUGGGCCCAUUCAGAGAUAUAAUCUGGUUGGGUUAGGCUUAGAUGUGUAGGUUGGCCAUUGGAUUUAGACUUGGGCUGAGUUCAGGCCCGUAAAGCUAUAUUUGGGUUCAGGCUCAAUGUGAGUUAGAAUAGUUCAUGCUUGUUUGGGCCAGAUUUUGACCCAUAUAGUUUGAAUUUAGCUUUGGAUAUGGGUGCAGACUCAGUUUAGGCCCAUAUGGUAUAACUAGGGUUUUUGAAUUGAGUUUGUAUGGCUAAAAUUCGGGUUUAAACUAUAAAGCUUGGAUUUGAACUUUGGGUUCACAGUGUUAAAAGACGUUCGAAAAUCAUGUUUUAAAUUUAAGUUUCAAAUCCAUAGAUAAAUGUAUGUAUAUAUGCAUACAUAUAUAUAUGUAUAUAUAUAUGUGUACAUAAGUAUAUAUAUAUAUAUAUAUACAUAUAUAUGUAAGGUCUCUUGACUAUUUUAAGAGAGUUUCAAAUAAUUCAGGUUUUGAAUUAAGAAUUCAAAACCUAAUAAAUAAGUGAACAAAUAAAUGAAUAAAUAUUUUCCUUCUUCCGCCUCCCGUCUUAGAAUAACAAUAAUAAUAAUUCCUCGCUUCCCUUUUGCAAUAUUUAUCAAUAGGAGCAUUGAUUAAUGCAGUCGGCAACAACGUAGCAUUCGUGGGCGAUCAUCAAAUCACGCUGGUUAUGUACAUACGGCAAAAAGCUUGUUAUGUACAUACAUAUAUGUCUCUCUUUUUUUUUUUUUAACGACAAAAAGUUCCGAUCCUCAAUCGUCGACUUCAAAGCAGAAUCAGACUUGAAAAUUAAGCCGAAUCCGCAAAGCACCAAAAUAAUUACUUCAUCAAUACAGGUUGCGGCUACAUCGUAAUUAAUUGCCGAAUCCAUCAAGCACCAAAGCAAUUACUUUAUCAAUACAAGCUGCGGCUACAUCGUAAUUAAUUGCCGAAUCCGCAAAGAACUAAAACAAUUACUUUAUCAAUACAAGCUGCAGCCACAUAUCUAUUCAUCAUAAUUAAUGUACGUCUCCUUAAUUUGCAUGCAUGUGAGGGAGCUUGUUCACGUAAUACGCAUGUUAUUUCGCGCGGUAGAUGAGUGGAAGCCGUUCUUCUCUUCCGCUGACGGCUAAGCGCCAAACGAAAUAUCGCCGGCUUCAUAUCUUCUCCGUCAUGGUUGUCGAUGCGCCGUUAAUUCCGCUGACUGCUAAACGCCGGCGAAUGAAGCUCCACCGUUGUUGUCGAUGCGCCGUUAAUUCCGCCGACGGCUAAGCGCCGGCGAAUGAAGCUCUGCCGUUGUUGUCGAUGCACCGUUAAUUCCGCCGACGGCUAAGCGCCGGCGAAUGAAGCUCCGCCGUUGUUGUCGAUGCGCUGUUAAUUCCGCCGACGGCUAAGCGCCGGUGAAUGAAGCUCUGCCGUUGUUGUCGAUACGCCGUUAAUUCCGCCAUGGUCGUCGAUGCGCCGUUAAUUCCGUCGACGGCUAAGCGCCGGCGAAUGAAGCUCCACCGUUGUUGUCGAUACGCCGUUACUUCCGCCAUGAUCGUCGAUGCGCCGUUACUUCCGCCGUGGUCAUCGAUACGCCGUUAAUUCCGUCGACGACUAAGCGCCGGCGAAUGAAGCUCCGCCGUUGUUGUCGAUAUAGAAAUAGACGGAGGCCGUUCUUCUCUUCCGCCGAUGGCUAAGCGUCAAACGGAAGAUCAUCGGCUUCACGUCGUCUCCAUCAUGGUUGCCGAUGAAGCUCCGCCGUUGAUGUCGAUACGCCAUUACUUUCGCCGACGGCUAAGCGCCAAACGGGGGAUCGUCGGCUUCACAUCAUCUCCGCCAUGGUUGCCGAUGAAGCUCCGCCGUUGAUGUCGAUACGCCAUUACUUUCGCCGACGGCUAAGCGCCAAACGGGGGAUCGUCGGCUUCACAUCAUCUCCGCCAUGGUUGCCGAUGAAGCUCCGCCGUUGUUGUCGAUGCGCCAUAACUUUCGUCGAUGUCGUCGAUGCGCCGUUAAUUCCGCAGAUCGCUAAGCGCCGGCGAAUGAAGCUCCGCCAUUGUUGUCGAUAUAGAAAUAGACGGAGGCCGUUCUUCCCUUCCGCCGACGGCUAAGCGCCAAACGGAAGAUCGUUGGCUUCACGUCGUCUCCGUCAUGGUUGCCGAUGAAGCUCCGCCGUUGAUGUACGGAUGAAGGGAGGACGCGAGUAUUAUUAUUAUUAUUAUUAUUNNNNNNNNNNNNNNNNNNNNNNNNNNNNNNNNNNNNNNNNNNNNNNNNNNNNNNNNNNNNNNNNNNNNNNNNNNNNNNNNNNNNNNNNNNNNNNNNNNNNGCAAUAGGUCAUCACUGUGAAAGCAAAAGCACAAGAACCGAAGCCCUAGGUCAACUAGGGAUAUGAAACUCAACCGAAUCACGUCACCAAGUACAGGAUAUGAAACUCGACCAAUGCAGCUGUGACAAGUUAACUUGGAUCAUGAAACGUCACCAAUCAUGUCACAAGUAUAGGGAUGCGAUGGAGUAAGUAUAUAUCCGUCGGCAAAGGCUAAUCGACAAUGCCCACCCUCAAGGUAUACGACCUAACGGCAUCAACAAGCAAAGGUCGGGAACUCGAGCCGGAAUAGUUCACAAAUACAUGAAACUAGAAUCAUGCUAGGAUCGCUAUUCACAAUAAUUCACAGAUCGUAUGUUUUGUUAUGCUCUACUAUAUGGAUGAAACAGGUAUGCAGAAAUAGUAGAGUAGAGCAACCAACCGGAAACAUGGUUCACAUACAGAUAGAUUAUACUCGUACACAUGAUACUAAGCAUAGGAAAGCGGUCUGGGAGUUAGCGGAGCUAGGAGACACAAACAACUGGGGGUAAUAAUGUAAAUGAUAGAGGUGCAAGCUGAAAUAUUAAUAUAUGCAUGGAUAAUAACAAAGAAGAGAAGGGGCUAAGAAAACCAUCACGAGCCGUCCACCAUGUACCAAGACGUCGGAUCGAAGUAUCCACCUGCUUACAAGUCUGGAUCAGAUUCACGACGGCGCGGGGACAGAGCAACCGCGACCUACGAAGGGUCACAUAGAUCAGAAGGAAAGACCCUAAUGUGGGACACCAACUAAUAUAAAAUCCCCAGACGGACCACAGGGCAAUCGGCUUUCCCAAGACCGAUUGUCGAAUCACAUCGGGAGUCCCGAUUAUCGCGCCUUGGGUCCGUCGUGCGUCACUAAUGUCCCCGGGAAUCCCCAACUCCAACUGGGAGUCAACCGCUGCCAUCUAAUACUCUAUAUACCACAUUGGCAGCAAACACCAUCACUUCGCUACGGAACAGACAUCGUUGACUAAACGUCUCGAAACCGGGUAUCCCGAAAAGUGUCGUUUUAGGACACCGGGACAACAGUCGCUCACCGUCUGUUCUGAACCCCGGAAACGGACACGGGUGAACCUUGCCAAGGAAGGCUUAGCCGGGACAUCACAAACUGAUCCUGAGCACUGCAUCAACGACUCCUCGGAUAAAAAACCGAACUAAGAUCGCGUUCCGUUCGACGAAUCUUCGCCGCGAAACGCCCCGAAAAAGGCUUUUCGAUCUCCGCAGUGGCUUGGGGCUUGGACGCUAUCAGUCAGAGGUUGUCCUCAGGCAUUUACACGCUGCUCCACAGCGAUCGAGUCGAAGUUAUCAAGCAAGAAAGCACAUCUGAACCCUUAAAAUCUAUCAUUUUAUGCGAUUUUUCGCAGUUUUUUAUGGUCGCAUCUUGCGAUACGAGGUUCGCUGGUCAACGUCGCAACCUGCUGUGAUAGAUUUCAAGCGUGCCGGAUGACCAGUGCUCACCAUCGGAGCACAAUCGGCGAACUGCGGUUGUGCGACAAGCGACAAUGAGCGAAGGUCAGCGAGCAGCCGCGCACCGCUGCAGGAAGCAUCGCGGUUGCCCCGAGCAACCAAGGCAUGCAAGCGCUCGACGGAAGUGAGCAAGAUGUCAGCACGACCUAAGGAUCUCUGUGCUCACUUCCCGAGGAUCAAAAAGACAUUCGGUCGUUGCCGAAUAUUACCGGAAAUGAGGAAAACAUUACUGGAAUGCAUAACAUGAACACUCAUCAGUGAGGGCGGAGCCUAGGGUUGGCCGCGGCGGUUUUAUUCCGGCAGGCGUGUCCGGCCGGGGGAGGGGUGCACCAGGUGGCGGCGGCUCCUUGGGAACUCCACGUCAGGCUGGCGCAGGGCGGUCCGGAGGUGCGGCGGCGCGUACGCGAGCCGCCAACUCCCUUGCGGUUUGGUGCUUCCAACAAUUGCUGGCGGCGACGGCGGCGGCGGGACUGGUCGGGCGGUAGGGGCGACUUGCCGUGGGUCGAGGCGAGUGGCCGAGCUUGGGUCGGCGCCGGGUGCAAGCGAUGCCAGGCGAGUGAAGGCGAGCGCGUUCGGGGGGCCCCCCCUACAGCACAAAGGCGGCGCAGGGGCUCCUGCGGCCGCCGGCGCCCUCGAAGGUGGCGGGACGGUCUGUGAGUCGCGCGGCGGUUAGGUGGGGACCUCCGCGCCGUGGGACGCGGCAUGGCUCACACCGAGCCCACCCAGCUUCGGUGCGUGUGUUGUCCCUGGGGGCCGCAGGCCGGCUUACGGCGGCUCCGGCGGCGCACGCGACGGUCAGAGCAUGGAGUCGGCGGGUGCGGGUGCGGUGGGGAGUGCUGGGUCUGGGGCUCACCUCACCGAGGCCUGGCCGGCUCUAGCGAUGGUGCUUGGAACUUCCCGGCAAGGUGGAGGGAGAGAGAGGAGGUUGCGAGCUUGGGGAAGCUUUUCCGGCAGACGGCCGGCGGCUGCGGCCGCCGGGCGUGCAGACGGCGUGGGCAGGGGAGCCUCCUAGCGGCUGGUUGCCACAGGAGGGCUAGGUUAGGGUUUCCCACGUAAGCCUAGGUUCCAACACACAUAUAUCUAUGUGGCAAUAUGCCAAUUUAGCCCCUCUAAUUUAAGGGAAUAUUUCUAUCCCAGCCCUUCACAACGCGGUGAAUAUGCGCGAAUACACCUUCAAAACAAAUUCACGCAAAACGGCUACUAAAAUAUCGCACUUUUUGCGAAAUUACCCUUUUUCCAACACGGACCUCUCCUCGAUCAACCGUGCCGAUCUCCGCAGAUCCGUCCGUCAGAUUUGCCGAACGGAUUGCACCAGUGCGAUCAGCACCUCGAGACAACAAGCUACGCAUUUUGUUUCACCACGUGACCGGAAUUCCACGACAAAUCCAAAACUUUCUUUCCAAUAGAAGAAUAACAAUAAAUACAUAUAAAACAUGUAUUUUUUGGCGAUUUUCUCGAAAUUCGUUGCAUCAAACUCAAAUCCGUCAGCGCAAUAGUUCCAUGAAUAGCCUGAACCGAUCGGAAACGAGCUAUUGGAUCGCCUAUGACGGAAGUCCGAUACGCGGAGAAGCCAACUCUUACUCCGUGGCUUUCACCGAAAAAACCGGAGUUACUAUUCAUUUAGUGAGAAACUUAAUAAUCGCGUAACUCCUCCGUUUUUAGCUCAUUUUGUUCCUGAACUUGACGAGUACUUAUAUAAUUUAAUAUUACACACCCUACUCAUCAACAGAGAGUUUAGUUGCAAUCGUCAAAUUUCCAGUCCUUACAAUUGCGUAUGACCUUCAAUCUAGAUAUAUACUAUGUGCGGCCAUAAGGUCAUGUGCAUGUUGCAUUUUUUUUAUUUUCGGUGUUUUGAGAGUUGGUUGAAUUACUUGCUUAUGUUGAUGUUUUGGGAGAUGAGUGAUCUGUGACUUUAGUAUUUCAUAUUUAUUUUUGAUUGAUCACUGGUCAGGUUUAUUCUCUAUGAAUAUUUCUUGAACGAUCAUAAUCAUUGAAUUCUGCUUAGCAUAUUGAAUACACAAUUCAGCCCUCGUUGCUUUGAAAUUUGAAUGUUUGCGAAUUGUCUAUGUUUGAUAUUUAGUUUUGAGCAAUGAAUAAUCUUUUCUUCUAUUUUUGAAUAUAGCUUAUAAUAUUUUUUGACUUGGGGUUGCACUAAUUUUAGGGGGAGUCUUAUCAAUUUUAGCUAUAAAAAUUUCUUGAAUAUUCAAGAUGUGGAUAAGAGUUACAUCCCUACUGGGAGUGCUGAAAACUUACCACCAUAUGGUAGGAAAGAGCUACCACCCCGGUCGUCAGUCGGUCAGGUGCUGUGCAGCUACCACAUUGUUGAUUAAUAGUAUCUACUGUAAGACAAAAGGGAAGUAUCUUAAGAAAGAGAAAUGUUAGAAUAAUAUGCCUCAAAGAGCCUUAUACAUUUUGUAGAGCUGAUUAUAAGUGUGGAAUGCUUAAUAAAGAUGCUCAAAGAGCCACUCCUGUCGUCGAAUAAUGUGCAUAAACUCAAUUUGAUCAAUGUUAUGUUAAUUUCACGAUUAUGAGAAACUAUUUAUUUCAUUUUCUUUAACAAAUAUGAAUGGUAAAGAUACAUAUAUUCCUAGAUCUUGCCAUGUAUGUUGUGGGCAUUUAUUUUAUAUGUAUUGAAAAUUCUCAUUGAUUUUCGGUCUGUCAAAAAUUUGAAAUUUUGAAUAUCCUGAAAUUGAUUUUCAAAAAUUCAUUUAUGGAAAUUUUAUUUUUAAGUUUUUUGUGGAUGGAAAUAGGUUAUUUGUGAUGAUUGAGCAUUACGGGAUAUCUUAUUUUUUUUUAAAUUUCGGGCUUGCAUUUAAAAUAUUUUAAAAUUUUCAGCGUUCUGGGACGUCAGGCAGAGUAGACCGGCUCCCUCCGCCAGACCCGAUAAAAGGACUUAUGCGUAGUUUUUUUUUUUUCUUUCAAACUUGGUUUUCUUUUUCGUGUCCAGCGUUCUCCCCUUGCUCCUCUCUUGUCUUUUGAGUGGAUUGCUCCCGAUCUCCUUUGGCGUUGCAUGUUUUGUAGAUAAGCAUUUCGGAUUUUGUUGCUUUUAUUUUGAUAUAUUCCGAAAUUAGGUUUUAUUUCAGAUUUUUUGGUGUUUGUUCUAGAGAUCUUGAUGAAUUUUGUUUUUUAGGCUUCGAUCUUGUUUUUUAGUAAUCCGUUAUUUUCAUUUUCUCUAGUAUUUAUUAUCUUUUGGUUCAUUUUGUAGGUUUAUUCAAUGAUCAAAAAAAUUUUGAUUUUCAAUUUUUUGCUGGGAAAUUGCUUUUGGCUGAUUUUGUGCAUGAGUGGUUCUUGUUUUUCAUGAUCUUGACGCCCCUAGGAUCAUCUAGUAUAUAUAUUUUUUUUUUUUUUUUUUUUUUUUUUUUUUUUUUUUUUUUUUUUUUUUUUUUUUUUUUUUUUUUUUUUUUUUUUUUUUUUAUUUUUUUUUUUUUUUUUUUUUUUUCUUUUUUUUUUUUUUUUUUUUUUUUUUCUUUUUUUUUUUUUUUUUUUUUCUUUUUUUUUUUUUUUUUUUUUCAACUUGCCUAAACAUGUUUGAAUUUUUUUUUGCGAAAAAUUUGUUUUAUAUAUGUAAAUUUCAUAUGUUUAACAGGUGAUUUUCGAAAAUUGUACUCAGUGGUCUUGUGCUUGUUGUUCUUAUGGCUGGCGGUUGGUCGUUGGAACGCAAACGACAGCCCGCUCCAAAGUAAACGGUCAUUGCUAGUAUUCAACGGAAGAUAAGAGAGCGAAUAUGCUCCUUGGCGACGACUCUGAGGAGGAUGACGGAUUGGAAGGCCUUUGUUCCCGAGGUAUUAAGCGGCUAAAGGAUAACGGAUAUUAGGCGGAAAGCCAAGGGAAAGGAAAAGCCCGUGGAUAAAGGCAAGGAAAGGCCGACGGUCGUCCCGGUCGUCAGUAAGUGUCCGGGGGUGUUGGAAAUUCGAGAACCGGGCUCUUGAGGCCUCCACGUCACAGUCUACAGGAUGUUCAUUCUAAGAUUCAACGGCGGUCAAUGUAACUCGUCGAACACUGCAUUGGUGAGCGAGCAUGUUGGGUGCAGUAUCAUUAGUUGUGUGCCGCGGUUUUCAGGAUUUAUUUGAACAAGGGAAAUCUUAUCAGAUUUGUGAUUUCCCGGAGGGCAAACCAUUUUUGUUUGGAAUCUGAUCAGAGAUUUUUAUGAGAGCAGGUCCUAAGCUGAUCCGACGGCGGCCCGUUACGUGUUUAGAUUCCGUACGUGGUGUUGAGUUAUCCCAAUCACUCCUGAUACGAAUACGUCGGUGCUAGGGUUAUGGGAGCUAAGACUGACGGCAGUGUGAAUAUCUACAUCUGGCGUUCGAUUCACUUCGCGCAUUUGGAAUUGUGUAUGAAAUACUAUUUGAUGCCGGGUAUGCAGUCAAACGGCAUUAUGGUUAUGUCGAAGAUUUCAAAAAUGGGUACCGUUUUUUAAACUUCGUGGUUGCUACAACAUUCUGCCUCUUGCAAAGCACGAGAUUCUGAGGUGGGAUCAUAUCUCUGUAUAUGUAUCUCUUGGAAGGCCCAGAUAUGUGAGUGCCAAAAAAUAUUACAUGAAUAUUCUGUUUCUAAUCUGGCGGAGGAUGCGCAAAGGACAUCAAAACUUUCAUGGACAAAACUGAAAUGGCUUGCCAUUCCGAUUGAUAAUCAUGAGGAUUCUGCGACUUCGUGAUGUGGAUGUCCGGUGUACAUCUUAUGAGCAUAGUUUGGGUCGGAUAAAUGAAAGUGCUUCUUCCCCUCCUGCUGCUCCACCUCCUGCUACUGCUACUUCGUCAUGUCCCUCUAUGGACAUUUCUGAGGAAGAUAUCUCCGUUUCCUCUGUGUAUCGUGAGCAACAACGUCUAUCUGAGGAGCUUCAGAAAUUGUCUGCGGAGCAAGCUGCGAUUCGGAAGGAUGUAAGCAAGAUGAAGCGCUUAUUGAAUAUGAUUUUUGACAAGUUAGGAUGUUGCCGAGCAGAUUUACCUCCAGGGGAUGCUUCCGAUUAGGAGUUACCAUGUGCCUUCUUUUGUCAUUUUGGCGCUUUCUGACAAAAAGGGGGAGAUGGAGAUGGUGGUUCUUGGUGGUUCUUGAUGAUAAUGAUGUAUUUAGCUUUGAUGCAGCAUUUUGUUUAGAUGGACUUUAGAUGAACUUUGUUUAGUUAGUGCUUUAGGUGUUUGAUUAUGAACUAUGACUUGAUACUUUGUUUGAUCUUGAUACUUGAAUCUUGAUUAUGUUUUGAGAAUGUUUUUGCAGGAAUAAUUCAAGACUUCAAGACUCCAUGUCUAAGUCAUAGAGUUUGUAUUAAGAUUAUGAAAAUUAUAAUUUUCGUCUGUUGGAUCGAUCAUGCAGGAGAUUAUCGUUUGGUGAUUGCGAUGAUCUUCUUUUUAUUGUUUCUGCGUUGUGUACGAAUUUAUAGCAUAUUUUGUCACAAAAUCGCCAAAAGGGGAGAUUGUUAAGGAUUUUAUAAGUUGGCGAAUUUCGUAAAGUUGGUUGGAGUCUUGAAGAGUUGAUUGCAGAAGAUCGAAGAAAAGAUCUAAAUUGAAGGAAAAAGACUCACUCGUAAAGUUCGGCACCUAAGGUAUGAAGAAAAGAUCAUUUGUGAUGAAGAUAGUUGAUUAGAAUAAGUUCAGAAGGCUUAGAUUGGUUUAAAAAUACUUUACUGAACUUUUCUGUGUUCAGGGACCGGUCUCAGAGUUCAAGAGACCGGUUCCCCUAAGGUCCUCACUGCGUGAACCUUGAUGCAACCGGUCCCCUGUGAUGAGAGACCGGUUCCCGAACCUUGGUAUUUCUGUCACGCAGCAAGGGACCGGUCUCAAGCUUGAGAGACCGGUUCCCGAACAUUGUGAUUUUGGUCACGCAGCGAGGGACCGGUUCCUCACUUGAGAGACCGGUCUCUCACAGACCGGUCUCCUCGAGAAGACCGGUCUCUGAGGACGACACAGGUUUUUAAAAAAGAGUUUUUGCAAUCCUAGUCUAUUUCUAAGUCUUAUAAACAUAUAAAUAAGCUAUGUGGGUCAUCUAAAAGUUUAAGGCUUUGAAUUUUUACUGAUUCUAAACCCUAGAAACUUAUUUUUCUUCGUUUCAAUGCUUUGAUUCACAUAACGAGUUUCCAACAAUCAACAAUCGGCUUGAUUCUUCGUUUUUACUCGAUAACCCAUACGAGAAUCAAGUAGAUGUUUGAUUAAAGGUGAACCCUCAUAGCUUAUGGUAUUAAAAGGUUAAAUCAUCACAAAUCUUCAAUUCUACAAGCUCCGGAAGGAGGUUCGACGCGUGGAUCUCGCGUGAAGCCGAGGAUUCGGUGGACGCUUCGAGGAAUUGAGGUGUUGACGCUGCGAGGAGUUGCGGCAAGGUCGAUUGGAGGAUUCCUAUCGAUCGAGGACCGGCGAAGAUCGUCAUCUACGGGAAAUCGGUAAAUUGAGUCGUGUGUUUUGGUCAAAAUCACUUAUACUCAUGUUUUCUUAGUGGAUUUUCUUUGCGUGAUUGGUCCCGUGGGUUUUUCACUCCGAUUUGGAGUUUUCCCACGUUAAAUUCUCGGUGUGCUGUUUUCUUUUCCGCUAUUUUAUUUUAUUGCAUCGAGAUUUUUCGAGUUUGCCGGAUUUACACCUAUUCACCCCCCUCUAGGUGUUACUUACCUUUUAGAUCCUCGGGAUCCAUAUCUCACAAGNNNNNNNNNNNNNNNNNNNNNNNNNCCGGCGAAUGAAGCUCCGCCGUUGUUGUCGAUAUAGAAAUAGACGGAGGCCGUUCUUCUCUUCCGCCGAUGGCUAAGCGUCAAACGGAAGAUCAUCGGCUUCACGUCGUCUCCAUCAUGGUUGCCGAUGAAGCUCCGCCGUUGAUGUCGAUACGCCAUUACUUUCGCCGACGGCUAAGCGCCAAACGGGGGAUCGUCGGCUUCACAUCAUCUCCGCCAUGGUUGCCGAUGAAGCUCCGCCGUUGAUGUACGGAUGAAGGGAGGACGCGAGUAUUAUUAUUAUUAUUAUUAUUUUUUGUGGGGAGGAGAAGAAAGAAAAUAUAUUUCUUCUUUUUUUUUCUUUUUUUUUUUGAAUGGAUAUCUGUACCUUUUUUUUUUUGAACAACCUUGUUUCUCUCUCUUUUUUUUUUUUGCCGAAGUAGUUGAUCUCUCUCUAACAACCUUUCUCCAAAAAAUCCUCCCUCUUUCAUUGUAUCUUUCCCUCUUUUAUAGACUUUUUUAGUUAGUGCAUAAGUGGGUAGUUUUUUUUUUUUAGUGGGUUAGUGGGUUAAUAGGAGAGAUUAGUGGGAAGGUGGGAAGGGUAGUUAGUUUUCCCCUUUUUUUUCUCGUAGUGGGUUUUCUUUUUUUUUUUUAUUUUAUUUUAUUUUAUUUUAUUUUAUUUUAUUUUUUUUAAGCAUGGAACUGAUCUUAACCGUCAGUUCAAAAAUUCAAAACCAUUGAGAUGCCAUAUAGAACCAAUUAAUCAUGCCCGGUUAAUUAGUGGCUCAAAACCAUUGAGAUGCCAUCAUGGCCCGGUUAAUUAGUCGCCCGGCUCAGUAGCACCAUCUUUUUUUCUUUUCACCCAACCCCCCCUUUUUUUAUAUAAAUAUAUAUAAUCCUGGGCCCACUUUUUUAUGUGAGAGAAAAACAAUAAUAAUAAUAGGGAUCCACCAAUAUGCAGAUAUUCGGGCUUAGGUUCGGAUUCAAGCUGGACUUGAAUUGGAUUUGACUUGGCUAUAUUUGAAUUUCAAAUUUUGAAUCUAUCACAUUCUCCUCUCUUUUUUUUAUUACACUCAAACAGUUGCCAUAUUGUGGAUCAUAGUAGAUGAACUAUGCAUGUUAAACUUGGUCGAUUAGAGAAUUCGACAUUGGAAAACAAAAUCUAGAUGUUAUGUAAAUGCAUAAGAUAUAUGCUAAGGGAUUGAAUGAGGUAGAUGCUAAUUGUAAGUGCAUAGGAUGUGUGCUAAUUGAAUGUAAAAGACACAUGCUAGUAAUGAAUGCAUAUGAUAGAUGUAAGUGAAUGCAUGAAUUAAAUGCUAGAUGCAUGUAUAAGAUGUAUGCCAAAUAAAGACAUAAGCUAGAUGCAAGAACUAGAUAUUAUGUAAAUGCAUGAUUUAGAUAUAAAUGCAUAAUUAAGAUGCUAAUAACGAAUGCAUAAGAGCUAAAUGCUAAAUAAAUGUAUAAGAUUAAGAUGCUAAUUAUGAAUGCAUAGGCACGUGCGUGAGAUGCUAAAGAAUAUAUGCAUGAUUCAUAUUGCGAGAUUAUGCUAGUGAAUGUUGAACUUGAGACGACGAACUCCAAGUAUAGUAAAGAAUUCGACAAGUGUGGAGGCAUGUAAAGAAUCCUAAGUAUGAAUAACUAGGAAAACAAGAACACGAGUGGAGGCAUUCAAGUAUAGUUCGUCGUCUCACCUAUGUUGAGACGACGAACUCCACGUAUAGUAAAGAAUUCGACAAGUGUGGAGGCAUGUAAAGAAUCCUAAGUAUGAAUAACUAGGAAAACAAGAACACGAGUGGCAUUCAACCUAGUGUCAUGAAACAUAGGUGAAUUAUGAGUGGCAUUAAACCUAAUGUAUUAAACGUGGGUUGAGAAUUGAACCUAGAGUUAAGUAAACCCAGGUUAUGAAUAUAGUGACAUUAAACCUAGAGUCAGAUAAACCUAGGUUAUGAGAUGAGUGACAUUAAUGAAUAUAAUCAAUACUAAAGAAUGCUAGAAAGAGAAUACUUAGUGUGCAUGGCAUCAAAUGAGUUUGAAUGCUAGAGUUGGACACUUAGUGUAGCAUUAAUGAAAACAAAUGAGUGCAUGAAAAUAAGUAUAAAGAAUAAGUAGUAUAAAUGACACUAAUAAAAGUUAUAGAAUGCAAGUAUUUUCUUUUAUGACACUAAUAAAAGUUAUAGGAUGCAAGUAAGUGUGAUUAAUGACAUAAUGACAUAGCAAUUUUAUAGUUAAGGGUCAUACGAGCAUUACUUCCUUAUAGUUAAGGAAUGGAUUGAACUUGAAAUCCUUAUAGUUAAGGAUUGGAUCAUNCAUCUUAACUAGUUUAGCAGAAAAAAAAAAAAAAAAAUAGAAUCAUGUAUACUGAUUCCAUUUUUAUUAAUUUAGCUAACCUGAGAUUAUGUAUAUGAAUCUCAAGUUUGUAUUCUUUAGUUCAAUCUGAGAUUAUACAUAUUAAUCUCAAAUUAAAUUUAGUUAAAGCCGAUUAGGAUUAUAUAUAUAAAUCAUAAAUCGGUAGGAAGUGGAAUCUCACUUGAAUUUAUACCAAACUGAGAUUAUAUGUACGAAUCUCAAGUUAAUUUAAUUAAUCUGAGAUUAUACAUAUUAAUCUCAAUUAGAUCGCCGAUUAAGAUUAUGUACAUCUAAAUCGGUAGGACGUGGAAUACCACCUGAGUUUAGGCUAAUCUGAGACUGUGUAUGUUAAUCUCAGAUUAGCUAAGUUUGGGUUGAUUUAGGAUUAUGUAUGUUGAUCCUAAAUCAAUUUAGAUUAACCUAAUUAGGAAAUUUUGAUAUCCACAUUAGGUUUAAUUCAAGUUAGUUGGUAAUACAGCAACUUGAUUAGUAAAAGAGAAAAUAUAGUAUAAUAUGAGUACAUGUGACCCCCAUACGGGGACCAAUUCGAUACAUUGAUAUGUUGCCUAACACAAUAUUUUAGGUAGAAAAUAAUAUAAAGUCAGAUAAAGUCGUAAAGUCUCCAGAGAAUUAGCUUCCACGGGAUUGUGAGAUUUCCCCAUUAAUUGUUAUCUGCGAACGCAAAUAACCUUCGGUACUUAGGUGUUAUGGACUAUUAGUAUGUAUAAGUUUAUAAUUAGACUUAGUACUUAUGAUGGGGUGCCACUUUUUAGUUUUUAUUCUAAUUGGCACGCUCCACGCAGUAAGCACCAGCGUUUGUCGUUGUACGUAUCAAAUAGGUUGUAUUAGAUAUUAUACAGUUGUACGUACAAAAUAGAUUGUAUAAGGUUACCAUCCGUUUGUAGAAAGUUGUAUUAUAUUAAGUACGUAAGUAGAUCGUUAAUAUAGUACGUGGUAUAAUAGUAAACGUUGGAUGGUUUGUAUGUAUAUACGUAGUUGCUAUUUUGGCAUAUGGUGAAGCUGUACCUUCGCUCGAUUAGAGAAGCCACUCGUGUUGGGUGGACAAUAGCACAAGGCUAACGAACAUCAGUGAACGUUAGCCGGAGGGCGCCGUGGACAACGGGCCAAGCCGGGCUUGAGCGUGAACCGGUGGUUUGCCGGUGGUUAGGCGUUAGGCUUUUAAAUUCCAGAUAUUGAACUACGGUGCUACGAGACCUAGGCAAGAGCACUAAAAACCUGCAGCGGAGCCGGGACGUCCGCCUUUGCUUCGGCUUUGCAGGCAAAGAAGUUAUAGAAGCGUGGCCGAGCUGCUUAGCGACUUGGCUGAAGUGGUUGUGCAGCCUUAUGGAUCGUUAAUCCAAAUAUAUCCAAGUUAAAUCUAAUUUGGGGUAGAUACUGUUUUGCGGGUAAAGAUUCGGGAUCGUACAUGUAUAUGAGGUUUACAGGGUGUUAGAGUACCUCUUUGUACGUAAAUCAUCAGAUUCCCAAUAAUCUUAUGAUUCGUAUUUCCUAAAUUGGUUCAGGAUUUGUGAAUGGCUUUAAACUUGCAGCUCUGCUUUCGUACGGCGAGUUUGCCGGCGUGCUCUUGGGCUUGGCUGUGGAGGUUGCGCAAGGGUUCGAAGAAGAGGUGGUCGGGAGGUUAAAAAUCUCUCUCUAAAUCUCUCUACUCUCUCUUUAGAUCUCUCUCCUUCCCUUCGAAAGAGAGAGAGGGCGUGGUACGCGCACACUACCACCACCACCACCACCAGCCGACCACCUCUUCUUUUUCUUUCCCUAAUUUAGGGUAAAUACGUGAUAAUGUUUAAUGUAGAGGUCGAAUCCAUGUUUAUAAAAAGCGGACGGGAAGACUUACAGGCAAAGUCGAGUUUAAACUGUCAGUCUGAGCCAAAAUAAAUUGAAUUGCUUUCUUUAAAAUUAGAAAGUCAAAGCUAGUGUAAACUAGUGGCUUUCGAGAUGGGUUGACAUUAGAGAUCGUUUAUCGUCAGCCUAAAAUAAAAGGUGGAAGGCCUACGGUCUUACUGUACUUUGAAAUUUAGAUCGUAGUAUUUUUAUUAAGACUGUAUAAGAGGUCAAAAGUAUUAAGACUGUAUAAGAGGUCAAAAGUAUUAAGACUGUAUAAGAGGUCAAAAGUAUUAAAAGACUGUGACACGUAAAAGACGAUUUUAUAGUCAGGGUAAAGCGUGUCUUUUAAGAUUUAGAAGACAAAAGUAAGAAUAACGUCGUGCUAGGUCUGAAUAUAAAAUAGAGAAAUUUAGGUUAUUUUUAUCAUAGAGUGUGAUAAAAAUAAAUAUAAGUGAAAAUUUAAUUUUUAGGCCAUACAAUGUUUCUCCCACCACGAAAACUCAAAAAUCGGUAACCUACCUCUCUACAUUCCAACCCUACUACCACCAUCCACCAUCAUCCACCACCAUCCACCUUAUCACAAAUUAGGUUCCCGAUAAUCAUUAGUUCCUCAUCUAGGUUCACGAUCUUUGGAUCUUCGUGGUUCCCCAACCACGAAGAUUUUCACAAGAUUGAGUUAAUAUAUAUAUAUAUAUAUAUAUAUAUAUAUAUCUCUCUCGGUCUCUACUCUGUCUUUCGUGUCUCUCGUGUCUCUCUGUUUCAACACAUGCUACCCGCCUGAUAAUCUUCGCUUUUAGCCGAGGUAAUCUGAACUAGAUGGUCAUAAACUUCGUAAAUCUUUUUUUAGAAACGUAAUAAAGCUUUGGUAACCUGAUUUAUGCUAUUGGUUCAUCCGUGUUUUAGUUGGGAUCCGCCUUUUGUUUUUAGAUUGUUUUAUUCUAGUAGUACUGUGAUUUUAAAAUGUAGGUUCUCAAUUUUUAGAACAAAAUAUGCGUUUUUCUCUUAAAAUGAUAGUUAUCAUAAGGUCGGAUACUAAACCUAUAAAGAUGUGGCAACUUGAACAUUUGCCGAGUGAUGCCGGCUAUUUUAAUAACUAAAACUCGGGGAAGCUAGUGAUCUGUUUACUAUAGCUUUUUAGUGUUUUAAAUAAAAGAUCCACGAAGUUUAUGAGAGGCUAGCAGCUAAGUUUUCAGGCUCGUAGCUUUUGUUGAACCUUCGUGCAUCCCGAGGCACGAAGGUCUUCGUAUGGUCGGGUGAGAUAUAUAUAUAUAUCAAGCCGACCCUAUGAUAGCUAUUGCGGUUCGUAAACCACGAUAUUUCAAAAAGCGGCAAUCUAAAUUGGGAAAUUGAUAAAAAUGGGUAAUCUAAUAUAAUAAUUGGUUAUUGAAUGAGUUGGGAUCUCUCGGGUAUAGUAGUAUUAACAUGUAAAAAAGUAGACUCCCGGCUUUUGGAUUAUCGUGGUUAUCGAACAACGAUAACUAUCAUAAGGUCGGAUCCAGAUAUAUGCAUAUAUUUAGAAUUUGAUCGAAUUUGAAUAUGGUUGUGAUUUGACUCUAGUUUUAUAUGCUAGAGAAUCGGGUUGAAAUAGGUUGUUUUUAAGGACUUGGUAUAGAGAAGAGGUUGGAUUAGGUUGUGCAUGAUUGAGGUUAGGUUUGGACUUUGAUUUGGUUAUUAUGGUAUAGGUUUCAUGUAUGGCUUGUCAAAUUUGGAUUGAAUUGAAAUUAAAGAUUGGGUUCAGCUUGGAUCAAUCCGGAAUAAAUAAUUGGGUUGGGUUUAUAUUUAGUCUUGGCAUGAACUUGGGCUCAUUCGGAGAUAUAAUUGGGUUGGGUUUAUAUUUAGUCUUGGACAUGAACUUAGGCCCAUUCGGAGAUAUAAUUGGGUUGGGUUUGGAUUUUUGUCUUGGACAUGAACUUAGGCCCAUUCGGAGAUAUAACUGGGUUGGGUUUGGAUUUUGUUUUGGACAUGAACUUGGGCCCAUUUGGAGAUAUAAUUGGGUUGGGUUUAUAUUUGGUCUUGGACAUGAACUUGGGCCCAUUCAGAGAUAUAAUCUUGUUGGGUUAGGCUUAGAUGUGUAGGUUGGCCAUUGGAUUUAGACUUGGGCUGAGUUCAGGCCCGUAAAGCUAUAUUUGGGUUCAGGCUCAAUGUGAGUUAGAAUAGUUCAUGCUUGUUUGGGCCAGAUUUUGACCCAUAUAGUUUGAAUUUAGCUUUGGAUAUGAGUGCAGACUCAGUUUAGGCCCAUAUGGUAUAACUAGGGUUUUUGAAUUGAGUUUGUAUGGCUAAAAUUCGGGUUUAAACUAUAAAGCUUGGAUUUGAACUUUGGGUUCACAGUGUUAAAAGACGUUCGAAAAUCAUGUUUUGAAGCGGUUGCGCAAGCAAAUGGAUCGUUAAUCUAAAUGUAUCCCAGUUUUAUCUAGUUUGGGUAGAUAAUCGUUUUUAACGUAAAACCUCGGGAUCCAACGUUGAUACGUUCUUAAUUGAUUUAACUAGGAUCUAAGAUCGUAACUAGGAGAUAAAUCGUACGAUCCUAGGGUUUAUUUAGUAAAGAUACCUAAUAUUUACUUUGAAAUUUCUAGAUGGUACUCUCCCAAGUUUUUCGAGUAAAGUUCGGGAUCCAAAUGUUGAUCCGUUCUUUAGUAGUUUAACUAGGUACUAAAUUCGUUGUUAGUAGAGAGAUCGUACGAUCUUAUCAAGAUUUAGGUAAGAACUUCGAAUUUUAGGUUUGAUGUUCCUCUAUGGUAAUUUCCCAAAACUUCGAAUGAAAGUUUCGAACGAAGAGUACGUUCCUUCUUCUACCUCUUCUACUUUUAGGUAGGAACUCGAAGUUAGAGGUGGUUUUGGGUGAGAAAACCCUCUCUAAAUCUCUCCCUUUCCCUCCCGAGAGAAUGAGGGAGAGAGGUACGCACACACGCACACCACCGACACCACACCCACCGCGUGCCAACCCCCUCCUCUCCCUAAUUCAGGGAGUUUUGUGAUAAGUAAGGCCCGUCGAACUUUAGACUAUUGAAAGCGGCCUCGAGGGGCUUAUAGGCAAACUCGAGUUUGAACUGUCAGUACAAGCCAAAAUGCAUGACUCAUUCUUAUAUAAAAUUAAAAAGUCAAAGCUGGAGCAAACCAGUGACUUUUGACAUGGCUUGACAUUAGAAAUAGUCUAUCGACAGCCUAAAAUAAAGAGUGAGAUGCCCACAGUCUUUUUAUACUUUGAAAUUUAGAUCGGAGUAUUUUUAUAAAGAUUGAAUAAGAGGUUAAAAAUAUUAAAAGACUCUGACACGUAAAAGACGAUUAAAUAGACAGGGCAAAGGUUGUCUUUUAAGAUUUAGAAGAUAAAAGUAAGGCUAAAAUCGUGUUCAGUGAAGACUGAAUAUAAAAUGAAGAUGUUUAGGUUAUUUUUAUCAAAGAGUGUGAUAAAAAUAAAUAAAAAUAAAAAUAUGGUUAUAGACCAUACAAUGUCGAAGUAAGCGGCCGCGAAUCGGCAGCUGCCUUACCUCUGCUGCACUUCGGCUACUAGAGUGCAAACUGCGCUUCGGUUGCCGCCUUAUCUUCUAGUGCCGGCUUCAGUUGCCGAUAUAGCUGUUGUUGCCGCCUCGAAGUAAGCGGCCGCGAAUCGGCAGUUGCCUUAAUUGCCGUGUAGCUGUUGUUGCCGCCUCGAAGUCAGUUGCCGCGUAUCUGCUAGUACCGCUUUCAUUGUCGCGUAGCUGUUGUUGCCGCCUCGAAGUAAGCGGCCGCGAAUCGGCAGUCGCCUUAAUUGUCGCGUAGCUGUUGUUGCCGUCUCGAAGUAAGCGGCCGCGAAUCGGCAGCCGCCUUAAUUGCCGCGUAGCUGUUGUUGCCGCCUCGAAGUAAGCGGCCGCGAAUCGUCAGUCGCCUUAAUUGCCGCGUAGCUGUUGUUGCUGCCUCUUCUGUACUUCGGCCGCUAUAUCGGCAGCCGCCUUAAUCUGCCGUCGCUUUCUGUUGUUGCCGCCUGUGAGUAGGUGGCGCGCUUUAUUGUCAGUCGCCUUAAUUGCACUUGUUCGCUGUUGUGUACGUGCGUCUUCUAUUCUUCUGCAUGUUAUUAAUACUGCUUAUCGCUAACAUCGGCAGUCGACCCAUUAACUAUUUUCUUUACCCGAAAUAUUAUUAAGAUGACGCGCUUUAAGCCGUUAAUUAAUGCUACAUCGGCGUCGAACAUAACUAUUUCAUUAACGAAACCACGAACUACCUAAGCCGUUAAUUAAUGCUACAUCGGCGUCGAACAUAACUAUUUCAUUAACAAAAUCAAGAAACACCUAAGCCGUUAAUUAAUGCUACAUCGGCGUCGAACAUAACUAUUUCAUUAACGAAACCACGAACUACCUAAGCCGUUAAUUAAUACUACAUCGGCGUUGGACAUAACUACUUCAUUAAUAAAACCACGAAACGCCUAAGCCGAAUUAAAAGUUCAGACUAAGACGAAACUUCAGCUGCUAACUCCUAGCCUUGAAAAACAGCAAUUUUUUUUUUUUUCUCUCUGUAUAUACAUACAUGUAUUGUUCGAAAAACGGCAUACAUGUAUUGGUCGCACUAAACUACUAGCGGGUGCUUACGAUGCAACAACGGCUGACGUAAUUAGUUACGAGGAUAACUAUUUAUAACGUUUUCCCUUCGCUCCUUAAUAAUAAUAACAAUAAGAUUCUGCCCUCCGCCUUCUUUCUUUUAUAAAUAAGUAAAUAAACAAGUGAAUAAAUAAUCCAAAACUUAAGAAUUAAGUUUUGGACUUAAUAAACUUUGAGAGAAUUUUAUCAGUUCUCUGGAAUGUAUAUAUACAUAUAUAUAUAUGUAUAUAUGAAUACAUGUGUAUAUAUAUAUGUAUAUAUAUACAUACGUAUAUAUGUAUGUAAAUAAAUACCUAAACUUUGAAUUUAAANAAACACGCAUAUUAUUAUUAGAUUAAAUUUUAGAUAAAUAUAUAUGGAGACCUCCUCAAACUAUAGGCUAUUGCGAAAUAGACUCCUCAACUUCUAUUUAAUAUUCACAUUGAGAUCUCCUAAACUUCUAAAUUUUUUAAAAAAUUCUCUCAAAUUAAUUAAUAAUUUUAUCAAAUUUAAAAAUUUUAAAUAUUUUUAGUAAAUUAAAUUAAAUUAAAUUAAUAAUUAAUAACUAUUAGAAUUAUUAUUUUUGGCAAAAUUUUAAUUUAUACUUGAGAAGAUAAUAUAUAUAUAUAUAUAUAUAUAUAUAGAGAGAGAGAGAGAGAGAGAGAGAGAGAGAGAGUAUUGAGCCGGAAUGCUAUUAGUAACAAAUGGGUUUUGUUACCAUCCAUUUAUUUUCGAUAAUGGGUUUUCAAAUUGACGAUCGAUAUUGUUGAAUAUAUAUGAUCUAUACCACUUAAAAUAUCUAGAAAUCAAUCUUUUCGACAUUAUUGACUUAAUGAUUAAAGAGUUUCAAAAUUUAUAAUUUUAAUGGUACUCAAUAUAAGAUGUUUACUCGUAUGACGGCAUAAAGAUAUCAAAAUCAUAUGAAUUUUGGUUAGAAAAUUCUGUAAACUAUUUAAAACAAAAUCUACACUUUUGAUCUUGAUUACUUGAUUCCUAUCUUUACUUUUCAAAGAACAUUUAUUUUCAAUCGUUCAUCCAAGAAAAUAUUAUCGAAAAAUUAUAAAAUUUGAUUUCUGGAUUCUUCCAGUACCAUAAAUUAUGUUCAGCGAUAUUGAUCUUCAAUUUAGAGGCUCCAUCAUCGAAAAUAAAUGAACAGCAACGGUUCGUUCGCUAUAAAUAACAUUUAUCAUCAGUAUUGCUCAUAUGUGUUUGUUUAACAUUAAUCUAAACUUCAAACUAGAUAAGCUAUGACCGCGCCACUUGUGGUCGAUUUUAAGUCAAACGAAACACGACAACACGCGCGAUAGCUGUUUUGUAUAUAUCUAGGCUAGCGGACUGCACUGCACCAGGACACCCGAAGAAAUUAAGAAGAAGGACCAUCUCCGUACGCUGCUGCGACCCUGCUGCACAGUCCAGCUGGCGUUGACAACAACUGACUGCGGCAGUAAAUUAAGUGGGCUCCGGCUCAAUGAUGAGAAACUAAUCCCCUCAAUCAAAAGAUUUUUAAAAUUAAAACUCAAGUAGAAACUCUCUCUCUCUCUAUAUAUAUAUAUAUUAUCUUCUCAAGUAUAAAUUAAAAUUUUGCCAAAAAUAAUAAUUCUAAUAGUUAUUAAUUAUUAAUUUAAUUUAAUUUAAUUUACUAAAAAUAUUUAAAAUUUUUAAAUUUGAUAAAAUUAUUAAUUAAUUUGAGAGAAUUUUUUAAAAAAUUUAGAAGUUUAGGAGAUCUCAAUGUGAAUAUUAAAUAGAAGUUGAGGAGUCUAUUUCGCAAUAGCCUAUAGUUUGAGGAGGUCUCCAUAUAUAUUUAUCUAAAAUUUAAUCUAAUAAUAAUAUGCGUGUUUUAUAGUAUUUAAAAGAACUAUAGUUAAAAAAUGGGUAAAUUGGACUGUUACUUUCUAAACUUUGGUGGGGUUUUACUUUACCCUAUAAACUCCUAAAAUAGACAUGUAACAUUCUAAAUCCUAAUAUUUCAUUAGUGAUACUUUCUUCUGUCAAUUUUUCGUCAAGCCCUUUUAACUAAAAAUUGAUGAAAGGGAUAAUAUAAAUGAAAUAUUAAAAUUUAGGGUAUUAAAUGUCUAUUUUAUGAGUGGGGUAAAAUAAAACUCCACCAAAAAUUUAGGGAGCAACAGUGCAAUUUAGCCAAUUUGACUACUGACACUCAAGUUAGUGAUCAUGCGAAGUUUUGAAUUUAUAUAUUUUUAUUCUAAAAUAAAUCAAACCACAAAUUAACCUAUAUUUUAUCAUAUACAAGUAAAAAAAAAAAAAGAAUUAGAGUGGGAUAUCUCUGAAUGCAUCCAAACACAAAAUUACAGUUGUUAUAACUUAUACUGGGAUAUCUCUUUUUCUCGGGAACAACAGAAGUUAUACCCUAGAAUUUAAUUGUUGAACCAAAUGCAGCCCUAGUAUAAUUUCCAUUUGCUAUACUAUACAAUCUUUUCAAAGACACUAUUAUAUUAUUUUAUUUUAUCGAUAUCUACAUUAUAUUUUAGAUUUAUUUUAUUUUUCUACUUAUAUUAAUUUUUUAAUAGAUAUCACUAAACUAUUUUUUAUCUUAUCAGUAUCUAUAUUAUUAUUACAAAUCUAUUAUUUUACAAAAAAUAUAACAAUUUUAUUAAGAGAUACAGGUUAUAUUGUAAAAUAAAUUAAAAUAAAUCUCCAUAAUUGGCUCCAUCAAGUUAUUUUCAUUAUAUUUAUAAUAAAAUGAAUUGAAUAUGUUAUGUCACUUUUAAUUAGUAUUUUUAACAGUUUUUAUAUAAAUUAUAGAUUUAUUGGUUACAGCGUAGGAAUUGAAAAAUAAAAUAGUUAAGUGGUGCCUUAAAAAAAAAUUAGUACAAUAUAGGGAGUAAAAAAGCCUGUAAAAUAAAUCAUAGUAUAGUGUAAUUAAGCCUUUAGCAUUCUAUCAUUAAAAACUUAAUAUACAUAUCAAAUUUAAAGGCUGGAUCGUACAAAAGAAAGAAAGACCAUAAUUUUGAUGAAAUGAAGAUUUUUCCGUGAGAAAUUAGAGAUCUUUUUGAAAAGGCCUUUUUGCAUAAAAACCACUGGUUUUGCAAUCAUGUAAAAGUAGACCAUUUUUUUUUUUUUUUCAGAUUCAAUUCGAAAUCUUUUUAAAUUAUCAAAAUUCUCCUAUUUUCUCCCUCAUUACUCCAUCUCUCUUCCUGCUUCCUCUCACUCCUUUGUUGCCCCGUGUUGCCACCACGCUCCUCGAUCCCCUACCUCGCGCAUGAGAGGAGGAACGAUGACAAAGCUUGACUCACUCGUAACCAUGUAAAGAUGAGGGUGGCAUUUCUCAGAGCAUCGCCAGAGAUGGAGACGAAAGUGGCGAAGGAAAAAAGCAAAGAUUGCUAGUCAAGGAUGCUUAUGGAGCAGGUUCAAGAGCAGGUCCACGAGCAUGGCCGAUGGCGACGAAGCGGUAGCAAUACUAGAAGGAAAAAGUCUGGCCGACGACACGAUGCUGUACUAUUCAUUACAUAUAUAUAUUAUUAUACAAUUUAGUAAGAAAAUUAUACUAUUUGACGUACAUUAAGCUAUAAAAUAAUGCAACUUUUCUUUUAAUGGUACAAUAUAUGCUUGAAUAGUAUAACUCUUUAGCUACCGUUUGGUUCGGGGUUAAGUAAAAACUAGCUAUUUCAUGGAUAGGGCUAAGUUCAGAGUUAAGGUGGGGUUAGAAUAAUUUUGUGUUUGGUUGAGAAUUGGGUUUAGUCCAGGUAUAAAAAAAAUAGCGUUUGGUUGGAGUAGGCGGAAUAAGAAGGAUAGUGGGUUGUUAUAAAUAGAAAAUAAUAAUUUUGCCUCUAUUUUUAUAUUUGAAUUUAAUUUUUUUAUUUUAUAUUUCAAAUUUCAAAUUUAAAUAGAUAACUUUUAAAAUUACAGAAUUCAAAAUUAAAAUUUAUUUUUUAAAUUUCGAAUUUAAUAAUUUAAAAGUUAUAAAAUUUAAAUCAAAUCUAACAAAUAUAAAAUUUAAAUAAUUAAAAAUAAUAAUUAAAAAUUUAAAAUUUUAAAAUUAAAAGUAUAAAUAAAUAUUUUAAGAUUUUAAAUUAUAAUUUUUAAAAUUUUAAAUAUAAAAUAUUAAAUUUAAAAUUUAUAUAAUUAAAAACAAUAAUUUAAAAUUUAAAAUUUAAUAUUUAAUAUUUGAAAUUUAAAAUUUAAAAUUUUAAAAUUUUAAAAUUUAUAAUUUAAAAUUUAAAUUUAAAAAUUUAAAAAUAUUAAUAUUAAUUUUAAGAUUACAUAUUAAGCAUUUUAAAAAUUUCAAAUAUAAAAUGUCAAAUUUCAAAUUUAAAUAAUUAAAAUUUAAAAUUAAAAUUAAAAUUUAAAUUUUAAAUUUUAAAUUUUAAAAAUAUUAAUAUUCAUUUUAAGAUUAAAAAUUAAAAAUUAAAAAUUAAUUUAAAAUUAUAAUUUUAAAAUUAUAUAAAAAAUUAAAUAGGGGUGGGAUUAACUUUAUCCCACCCCUAUUCUUGGGGGGGAGGGGGGUGGGUGUGCUGUUUUAAAACUAUAUUAAAAAUUACAUGCUUCGAAGUAUUUUCGACCUGCGAUCGAUACCCUCCUUCUCUGCCAUCUUUGUCUCCGUUCGGCGAAGCGCCGAAUAGCAACGAUGACGAACAGGUCAAAAUCACGAUUCGUCUCACUCGUAAAGCGCUCACAAUGCGGACGCCACGGAGCAGUUGGUGUGGAGGCAAAAGUGCUCGAGGCUACUACAAGCGGUGGAGACGUGGCCGACGAGGAAGGAACAAAAAAAGGGAUAGAUUGGAUUUUUUAAAGUAGAGGAGUAUUUUGAUCCAUUUUCACAAAUUUUCGUUCGAAUUUACAAAAUCAAAGAACGUGGCCUUUUUUUUUUUUAAUUCUCAAAACAAUAUGGCCUAUUUUUGUAAAAAUACAAAACUAGUGAAUUUUUAUUUUUUGGGGCGCGGCAAAAAAAAGCCUUAUAAAAAAUUAUUCUUUUUAGACCUGAUAAAUAUAUAUAUAUAUAUAUAUAUAUAUAUAUAUAUAUAUAUAUAUAUAUAUAUAGAUAGGCUGGGAUACUAUCGAUAAGCAUGACUCACAAUUUUGUUGCUCAUAAUGGGAGUUUGGACAAAAGGAGUUGGGUCCUAUCUGUUUGAGUGUGUAGCCAACAAAAUCCAAAAAUAAACCGGCCCACAUAAAAGUCAAAUAUACAGCGAAAGAAGGUCUUGUCACUCUAGUAGUAGGAGAUGAAGGGCAGUUCCGUAAAUCCCAGCGGAUUUGGGCUAUAAAAUCAUCCAAAAAGUAAUAUACUCCAAGUCCAAAUUGGCUAGCUAGGCUUGUAGAAACCAUGGUAGAGGACUUGGAGAGUGAGCACGCACAAAGGGAGUAUACUGAAGAUGGGUCUGUGGACCUCAGAGGGAACCCUAUUCUCAGGUGCAAAAGAGGAGGGUGGACUGCUUGUUCCUUCAUUGUAGGUAAUACUGCUUAAUUUAAUGGCUUCUUAGCUUUUAUAUCCCCUGAAAAGUUCUUUUAAAAUGAGCGUAUGUAAUACUUUUUCUUCAGCAUUAUUAUUUGUCAAUAUUUCUCAAGCCUUUGUGUGCAAAAGUUAAUUACUUGUUGAGGAACUUCAUGUGUAUUAUUAUAUAAUUCUUUGAAGCUCACGGAUAGCUGGGUUGCCUUUCCUAGCACAAAGGUCUUCGUACAUUCACUUUAUUCUGAAUGAUGAAAAUUUUGAAUAGACAAUCUGUUCGAUUAGACACGAUCUAAAAUAUAUAAAAUAUUUAGAAAAUAAAUUUUAUAAUUUUUGGAUAUUAUUUAUUUAUUUAUUUAUUUGAUCGAGUGAUUUCAAAACGAGCGGCUGAAAAUAAAAAUCACACAAAAAAUAAUGAUACAACACUAAAAUUUUAGAUUAGAAGUUCUGAUCUUAGGAUAAAAUAUUUUCUUUCAAAGUUAGACCAGAUUUAAAUAUUUUUGCAGCAAAAAAAUUGCAUGCAACUUAUAUCAACAAUUAAAAAUAUUAAUUUUGAGCCAUUUCGAUCGUUAAGUAGAUGAUAUCAAAAAAUCAUAAAAUUUAUUUUCUAAAUAUUUCAUAUAUUAAUAGAUCAAAUCUAGUGAAAGCGAUUUUCGUUUCGGAGCUCCCACCAUGCAUCGAAAGCAACGUGAAGCACAGAAGCCUUUGCUUUUCUAAAAGCAGCCCAAUUCAACUCUACUCUUCACAUAUAUUUUGAAUUGAAGCGUCCAACAAGUCUCUAUCACAUCAGAUUGUGUGUUGACUUGCUAGUAUGUAUGAAUCAGUUUGGCUCAGUUGUAAAUUGUAUUGCUAUAUAUUUCAUCAAUACUGUCAGAGAAUUGUUGUAUCUGUAGUAGAACUAGAAGCUGUACAUUGGAGCUUUUACUUUUGAGCUUCGAAUCACUUUUCUGCUCCCCGUUAUAACAGAAGCCCCGGUCUUUUUUUAUUAAUUGUUAAGCAGUUUGUUACAUGUAAUUGCAGCUAUAAAAGUAGACGUAGAAUUAGCUAGGCUAAACUCGCCCUCUCUACUUGUUUCCUCGUGAGUUGGUUCUUCAAUUUAUCUACAAAGGGCUAUAUUGGGUUUUGAACGUUAACAGUAAACUAGGUAACUAAACAUUUUUACACAAUGUAGGUAAAUUGUUAGUUUUCAGUCUUAUUAAUUUGUUAAAGUGUUUGUGGGCUACUUGUUGUAUGUUGCAGUGUAUGAGGUGUUUGAAAGAAUGGCAUUCUAUGGCAUAGCAUCCAACCUGGUGCUCUACUUAACUAACAAGCUGCACCAGGGCACUGUCGAUGCCGCAAACAACGUGACCAACUGGGCGGGCACCGUGUUCUUGAUGCCAAUACUCGGGGCAUAUGUCGCUGAUGCCUACCUCGGACGGUAUUGGACCUUUGUCAUCGGAUCUGCCAUCUACUUGUUGGUAAUUUUCAUCACCGUACUAUUUUCUCAUCAUUCAUUUAGCUGCUCAUAUACUUUUACAUGUUUGUUGCUUCCACUUUUCCCUGCCUACUAGAUUACUCAGAAGAUAAACAUAUCCAAGUUCUUGAGAGUUAUUUUCAUUUCUCCGGUUUACUUAGAUAGCUCUUGAUGAGAAUUCAUAAUUUAAGAUAGUAUGGAUAAAUUGAGCUAAUCGGAAGGAAGCUUCUUCUGCUCUUUAAAGAACAGCUAAAAGGUAAUAAAAAAACAAUAAUAAAACAAGUUGUUAGAUGUGUCUUAUUGGGCCCAUUUUAUGUUGUGGAUCCGUGUAGUUUGUGUCAGGAUUUUCUUUCUUUUUUAUUCUGCCUAUAAAUGUAUACCUUUGUUUCCAUGGUUUUUGGGAAUUGAGAGAGAUCAUUGUGUGUAUUUGGAAAUCAGGGUUUUUGGAGAGAGGUUUUUUUUGUAAUCCACUUUCAAUUAUAGUUAAAUCUUCACAUUGUCUUCACCCCCAAACAUAGAACAGUGGCCUAAUCGCAUAAAUUAGUUGUUUAUGUUAUUUCUUCUCUUUUUUUAUUCUCGUUGAUGCUAUGUACUGAUGAAUUAGGGCUUUUCGACUUUGUCAUAGCAGAUGACGUUAUUGAUUUGACCAAAAAAGUGAAAACCAAAUUGAGGCUUUCCUCUACUAUCACCACAUAUAGAUAAUAGGAAAGGGAUAUUAGACUUAGAGCGAAAGUCGGGCUCGCCAACAGAUCUACCAUAUACACAGGUAUACACAGGAAGCCUCGUGUACAUGAGGUGAAAGAAGUUGCUGCAAGCAAUUCUAGAGGCUACAACUAACAGAUAUCAAAACUAAAAUAAAACUGCUAAAAACUAAACAUAGUGCACUGUACAUACAUCAGCACAAAAAAUAGUACAUGUCACACCUCCCUACCAAGUACAAAAUCACCUCUCGCAGCUGAAAGUAAUAUAAAUAUGUAGACAGAUCUGCUCUAAAAAAGUAGCCUCUAUAGGGUGCUCCUCUAGCAUGAAUUGCACGGGUUGGUAGGGAGCUAGCUCGCAAUUUCUUUACCUCGAUCAGAAGUAGCUAUAGGGGUGGAAGGCUCUACAAGAAAAAAGAUAGUAACAAAUGGCGUGAGAACUAUUAAAACAAGUGCUCCUUAGUAGGUAUCAUCACUGAUGCCGACGACCUAUCCACUAGGUCUACGAGAGUGAAAAGUAAAGAACUAGUGUUUGAGAUAACAAAAAAAUUCAAAUUCAAAUUGAGGAUAUACUUUAUUUGAGAUUAAAAAAAAAUUCAAAUUCAAAUUAAGGAUAUAUAUAGAAGGAAAAAAAUGAAUUGUGAUUUCAUUGGUACUUUCCUUAGGGGAGUAGGUAUUAAAGAGGAAAGAGAUAAGAAAAAUAUUAUUGUCUAAUUUUCAAAUUUUUUUGAAUUAUUUCCCACAAAAUGAAGAGGUCCAAAAAUCACUAUAAAUUGAACCAUGAAAUUCAAGGGAAGGGAUUCGAUAUUUUGGAAGGAGAUUUCAAAAAAAAAAAAGAAAAAAAAAAGAGAGGCGCCAAGAGAGAGGCCCCUCCUCCUUCUCUGGUUCGUACAGAGAGAGAGAGAGUUAGGGUCCCCUCUCCCAGACCAACAAAAAGAAAAGAAAAAAGAAGAAAAAAGAAAAAGAGUUGAAGGCACGAAGACGGCGCAAUGGUGAUGACUUUGACGACGACGGUGUGUGAGGAGGCCUCAUGACCUCCUCUUUCUUCUUCUCCGACAACGACUUCGACAACAACAACGGCGUGGAAGGAACUGCCUCAUGGCCGCUUUCUUCUUCUUCUCCAAUGACGACAAAUUGGUGUUUACGUGCUAACGGUAUGGUAGUGAUCCUUUCGUCGGUUUGAUCAACACGACCGUCUUCAUGAUAGGUCGACCUGAUAAAAUCCGGCAUAGGAUUGGUACCAUAUCGUGCGCACGUAUUCCCUAAGCAUUCGUCCCCCCAACAUCGACGAAAGACCUAUGUGAACGUGCGAAUGGCGUGACGACGAACCUCCAACUGAUUUGAUUGGGCACUGUACAUAUAUCAGCACAAAAAAUAGUACAUGUCACACCUCCCUACCAAGUACAAAAUCACCUCUCGCAACUGAAAGUAAUAUAAAUAUGUAGACAGAUCUGCUCUCCAAAAGUGGCCUCUAUAGGAUGCUCCUCUAGCAUGAACUGCAUGGGUAGGUAUGGAACUAGCUCGUGAUUUCUUUACCUCGAUCAGAAGUAACUACAGGGGUGGAAGGCUCUACAAGAAAAAAAAAUAGCAGCAAAUGGCGUGAGAACUAUUAAAACAAGUACUCCUGAGUAGGUAUCAUCACCGAUACCGACGACCUACCCACUAGGUCUACGAGAGUGAAAAGUAAAGAACUAGGUAAAUAGUAGAAUAGGAAAUAAUAAAAGCUGAAAAGAAUCUAUAGGUACAAUGCCUCGAUGCUAUUAAUACUCAAAAUGAAAUGACAAGACGUAAGUAAAUGCAUCAACUAGCUACCGGUACUCACUAUCCAAACCUAAUCCAAACGAUCGCCUCCAAGGUCUGGUCAAACCUACGCCAGCCUACUACCAUGGCACCACUUUUGAGGGUAGCCGGUCAAAUGUGGGUUGCCCAAGGGGCUGCUGUAACACCAACAUGUAAAGCCUCACUUCCAAGGGGCACUAGGGGGAGCUACUGCAACGACCCGAUCCGCCAGCAAUAUAACUCGUUGGGUCCAAACAAAAGGCCCAAAAUACUUAAGCCCAAUUAUUAUUAUUAGAGUGUAAGUCUCAUAUAAAUUUAUCGGAAUUAGUAUCCCAUCCGAUAUGGAACUAUUGGGCGUUACAAACUCCCCAUGUUUAGACCCUGACGUCCUCGUCAGGUUCAAACCUGAUCACAGACAAACAGAUCGGGACCAGAAUUACCAGGCGAUGUGAGAUUCUAGAGGUGGCUCCUACGGGUUCAAGAGGUGGCUCCCACCAAACUCGUUGGUGUAGCACUUUACCCCGCAUAGCACUUAGUUCUCACACUUCUGGCUAGUAUUUGGCUCUGAUACCAAUUGCAACGACCCGACCCGCCAGGAAUAAUAACUCGUUGGGCCUAAACAACCGGCCCAAAAUGCUUAAGCCCUAUUUUUAUUAUUAGCAUGUAGACCUCAUAUAAACUGAUCGGAAUCAGUAUCCCAUCUGAUAUGGAACUAUUGGGGCGUUACAGCUACCCUGCCGAGCAACAACCGUAGUCUCUAUCAAGCUCAAAUCUAGCUCAUGCAAGCUGUAAUUUAUGCGAAUGAUCAAUCAGAUCAUCAAACUGUAAACCAUGUGCCUUAAGCACAAUCCAAUGCAAAACUCGAUAAUCUGAGACACCAUCAAUGCAGACAACACCUUAUUAUACAAUUCAGUCUAAUUAAAGUCAUCCUACGCUAAUCUGUAUGGUCGCUACCCUUUAACUGUUGGAAAAUCUUUCUGAUCUUUUAUUAAAAUAUUCUUUAAAAAUAAUUCGAAAGUUUAAUUUUAAUUUUAGAAAAAUUUCGAAAAAAAUUAAAUAAUAAAUACUGGAAAGAAAAGGAUUAGAAAAAGGCCUGUGGAUCGAGGCGUGCAGAGCACUGUCCUAGAAGCGAAAUUGCCCCUCCACGUACGAGGCUUUCCGGCAAUUACUUCAAACGAUACAACGUCCACGUUCCACCCUGUCAGCACACUUUUAAGGUGGUGCAAGAUAAACCCAACAAGCUUUAGGAGAUCUAGUGAAAUACUAGAAAGCUUGGCGAAAAUCAGUGCAAAAGAUCAAUGGCGAGAAAAUAGAAGAAAGCGAGGUAGAGGAUAGGGUUUUGCUCUUAGGUACGCCUAGGUUCAGGUUGAACUCAUGCAACCUCGUCCAAUAUAUAUAUCGAAGGCAAGGAUCUUGCUUCAACGUGUCGAUUCCGUGUAGCGCAAGAUAAGCCUAAGAUUAUAUGGGAUACGGAUUAGGAUUUCCACAAGGAUUAGAAUAAAAAUAAAGAUAAAACCAAAAUAUAAAAAAUAAAAUAAAAUAACCCGGAUGCCUAGACCGCGUGCCACCGCUCGUCCGGCUCGUGCUCGUGCCGUGCGCGCAUGCGUGUGUUUAGUCGAGAGCAUAACUCUCAUUUUCUCCUAAGCAACUAGGUUGAGAAUAAAUGAAUAUAUAAAUAACAACAACAUACUUUUAGUUUCUAAUGUGGGACUAAAUCUCACAUAUGAAAACCUUAGUUGGGCUCUCAGGCAAGGGCCAUCAAGUAUUGGGCUGCUCAAGAGGUCUAACAAGUUUUAAAUCACCCAAAACCCAAUAAAAUCUAACGUUAACUAGAGUGAAAAACAAGUAAAAAUAACUAACAAAGCUAAAUACUGACAACAAAGCAUCGGGGUGGUCUAGUGCAGAUUCUAUACAUGUUUCUAGUUCAAUUCAGCACUUAAAAUCUUUACAUACAUGUUGAGGAGUUCUAGAACAGGAAUUCAACAUCUCGCAUGCAAAUUUCAAAGAUUCAAGCUAGAAAUUUCAGAUUUAAAGAUGUAACUAGCAAGCAUGCAGAAUUUUAGUUGACAUAAUGGAUAAUCCGUCAUUUUCGAUAAAUUCAACCCACCUCGGGUGCUAAUCCAACUACGGCAGGGAAUUGAUCACAAAUAUACCUCUCCUCAGCUUGAAACCAGUAGGGAUUAAGCCAAGAAAGCUCCACAAACUCUCAGGGAAGAAGUUAAGUUAGUCCAAUAAUCAAACUUCCUCAAUGCUAAAAUUCACUUAACAAUUCAGAAAUUCACUACAAUUUAACUUACACUACCUUACUAUUAGCUGAAUAGGAUGUUCUCCAAGUUCUCUAGCUUCAAUUCGAGCAUGAGAACCAAGAAAUUCUAGGUCCACUCAAGAAAAUUGUUGGGAAAAGAAGUUGGUUUCACAAUUCCAUCCAAAAAUUUCAGCUUAAAGCCAAUUACAUUUCAACUAACCUCAAAUUCGGUUGAAGAGUAAGUCUACAAACUUCUUCAUCACUAGAUCACCCACAAGAACUUGAUCAAUUUUGUAGCUAAAAGUUCAGAUAGGAGAAUUUUUUUUUUGAUGCUACCCGCUUCGUUUAUUUCUUUUAGAAAUAAACUUAGCUGGAAAUGUGAAUCAACUAGGAUUCGAACUUGGGACCUCGGGUACCAACCACCAAGCCCUUUGUCACUUGCGCCAAGGACAAUCGGUAGUUCAGAUAGGAGAAUUGGAUGAGAAAGUUGAUGAAAAUCCAUUAGAAAUCUGAAUUUCAGCUUGCAUCUCCAAAUCCACUCUAAUUCAAUUAGACUAACUUGAAAUUCCAGCUUAAGGAAGGUGCAAGCUGAACCCAGGCUCACCAACAGAUCCGCCGUAUACACAGGAAGCCCCGUGUACAUUGAUAGAUCCUUCUUUAGAAACAAUUAUAUAUUAGAUAUAUAAAUGUAGAACGCAGUGGAAGUAUUCGUUCGUACCUUUUAGCGGAAGCAACUUGCGUUAGAACGCGACGAGCCCGGAUCGUAGAGGUUGAUUCACGUGUCCUCGGAUCGUCCUUGAAAAUCUUCUAUCGCUCCAAACUCGUGGUGGAUCGAACUACAAACGAGCACGAUCUCCAAUCCACAGUUCAAGACCCUCUAGGAUAAUCAAUAGUGGUGUAAUGUUGAGGAAGUAGUUACGAUAGUAUCGAUCCUGCUAUGUGCGAGUGGGAGAUGUUGGCAUUUGGUUAAAUCGAAUCAGAUGCACCCAUGAUCGGGCUCGAUCCGACGAUUAUUAUGUUGUCUAAUUGGAUUAGUAUUAAUCUCGCUUUUAAAUUGGAAAGCUAAUUAGAGAUAAAUUCUAAUCAUAUUAGGAUAACAAUUAAUAACCGAUUUGGCCUUAUCUCUUACGCACCUAUUAGGAUUUUGGAAUCCUUCGUAAAUAUACGGGCGAUCUCACGUAAAAUAAUUAAUAAAAAAGAGAACAAGAAAACUAAGAAACGUAGAAACCACAUUCUCCAUUAACCUAUUAUUCUAGAGGGUCUUGAACGGUGGAUUGGAGAUCGUGCUCAUUUGUAGUUCGAUCCACCGUGAGUUUGGAGCGAUAGAAGAUUUUCAAGGACGAUCCGAGGACACGUGAGUCAACCUCUAUGAUCCGAGCUCGUCGCGUUCUAACGCAAGUUGCUUCCGCUAAAAGUUACGAAUGAAUACUUCCGCUGCAUUCUACAUUGGUAUCAGAGCCUUGUUAGGUUGAUUUUGUGUCCUAGAUUAACUCUUUAACGAGAUUGCAUCCGUAAAUUUAAAUCUAUCAUCGUUCAGAUUUUUUUUUGCAUGCUUGUGGGCGUUAAUGGCGGAUUUUGCUAGGAUGAAUAUUAUUGCAUGAUUUUUACACAUCUUGAAACACCUAUGUUGUAGAUUAAAUUUACAAAGUUUGAUUUAAUUUGGUUUUGUAUUUUAUGAGAAAAACGAAACCCUAAAUCGAAACUUUGCUGGUGGCUUGUUUGAUGCGUGAUGCAUAUCCCAUUGUGAAACUUGCAUGAUUUGGAAGAGUUCCUCAUAAAUUUUCUAUUGAUAUAUUUCUUGCAAAAUUUGGAGUUCUAAAUCUCAAGAUAUGAUUUUUUGAAGUUUAUCUAUCUAUUAAAAAAAAAAGAAUGCUUACUAUAACUGUAAAACGCAGCGGAAGUAUUCGUUCAUACCUUUUUGCGGAAGCGAUUCGCGCUACAACGCGAUGAGCCGGAUUGGAGAGAUUGAUUUACGUGUCCUCGGAUCGUCCUUGAAAAUCUUCGAACGCCCUGAACUCGCGGUGGAUCGAACUACAAACGAGCACGAUCGCAAAUCCACCGUUCAAGUCCCUCUAGAAUAAUAGGUUAAUGGAAGAUAUGGUUUCUCUCUUUUUGUUUCUUAUUCUCUUUUUCUUUUCGUUCCAUAUAUUAUGUUAUGUGGGAUCGCCCGCAUAUUUAUAAGGGAUUCCAAAAUCCUAAUAGCGUAAGAGAUAAGAUCAAAUCGGUUAUUAAUUGUUAUCCUAAUAUGAUUAGAAUUCAUCUCUAAUUAGCUUUCCAAUUUAAAAGCGAGAUUAAUCCUAAUCCAAUUAGAUAACAUAAUAACGAUCGGAUCGAGCCCAAUCAUGGGCGCACCCGAUUUGAUUUAACCGAAUGCCAACAAUAACCAAUAAAGAUACAUCUUUCGUCUCGAUCAUUUAACUUUUCCUUGGCGAUUAUUAUUGAGCCCGCCUCCUUUUGGUCCAUAUCCAUGUCGUGAGUUGCAACAUUGGAUGUUCAAUCUUCUCCACGAUUUUUGCCUUUUCUAUUAUCAAGUUUCAAUUUUGACAUAAGAGCCUGCUCAGUCGACUCGUCUUCAGACACCUUUCGUAGUCUUUGCUCAUGUAUUUGGAGGAAUCCUAUCAAUUGGUCAAUAGAAAGUGUAUUGAUAUCUUUUGACUCUUCUAUGGCGACAACAAUAUGCUCAAAUUUUGAUGUGAAAGAAUGAAGGACCUUUUCUACAACUCGUUCAUCAUCGAGUUCUUCUCCAUUUGCUUCAUUUGGUUUACAAUUACAAAAAUGCAAGAAGCAUAGUCCGUGACACUUUCGGACUCCUUCAUUCGGAUUGCUUCAAAUUCCACCUGAAGCUUUUAUAGAUGAAUCCUCUUCACUUUGUCAUCUCCUUUAAAGAUGGCAGCAAGAAUAUCCCAUGCCACUUUCCUCGAAGUUGCUUCUGCAAUUUUCUCGAACGUCGACUCUUCUACUGCUUGGAAAAGAUAGAUAAGAGCCUUUUGUCCUUUUUUCUUGCUUCGUUCAAAUCGUUUCGUUGGGCUAUAAUUAAUGCAGCUCUUCUAGCUCUGUGUAUUCUUGGUACCCAGUUUUAACUAAUUUUCAAAGGUCUUGAGAACCAGGAAGUGCUUUCAUUUGAAUGCACCCAUUCUCGUAAUUGUCUUUUAAUGGUUUUGGGAUUUGGGUCUGGAGAAGUUGAUUGGCAAUUUUUUUAACAGAGUUUCUUUCUGGCAACUUUUCUCUGAUACCAAAUGAUGGCGGGCUAGAAUAUAAAAAACUAUAAAAUAUUUAAAACCAGAACAACCGAAUUUAUUAAAUAUGACUGAACCUCAGUACACAAGAACUUAGUAGUACAAUUUUAUGCAUUAAACAACAAAUUACAUGCCCUCUAUUUAUAGAGCAUGAAUGACGCAACUUUUCACGAAAGUAGACAUCACUCCACUAAAGGACAUGACCCUAAACCAAAAGACACAACCUUACAAAUGGACAUACCAUUACAUAAGGUACACAACCUUUCAACAAAACAAAUAAAUAAUAAACUAAUAAGCAACCUUAUAAUCUAACAACAAGAUGGCGGAAUCCUCGGAUAUGCCUAUGUUGGAUCUUAGAAGCUAAAACCGAUUGGUGAAGAGUGGCUUGGUGAGCGCAUCAGCUAAGUUGAUCAAACGAUAAUAUAUGAGAAACCCAAAGUGAUCCUUUAGAUAUCUGAUCGCGAACAAAAUGAUAAUCCAUAGCGAUAUGCUUCAUACUAGAGUGGAAUACUGGAUUGGCGCAAAGAUAAGUAGCGCCAACAUUAUCGCAAUAUAUUAGUUGGCUGAUUGUUUAUCUUGAUACCAAGUUCUUGAAGAAAGGAUUGUAUUCAUAUAUACUAAUUCAACUGUGGUGGCACCGUGGCAGCAACCUCCUUAUAUUCUGCUUUUGUUGAUGACCGAGCUAAGGAACUUUGCUUACGAGAGCACCAAGAGAGAGAAUUAUGGCCUCAACACACUAAGUAGGCAGUAGUGGAGGUAUAAUCAUCACGAUCACUAGCCCAAUCAGCAUCUGAAAAGGUCGUAGAUGAAGUGAAGAAUUUUUUUGAGAUGAAGACCAUGGUAGAUAAUAGCCUUGAGAUAACGAAGAAGACAUUUUAAUGCAGUCCAAUGACUUUGAGUUGGAGCAUGCAUGAAUUGUGAUAAUUUAUUUAUGGUUAAGGAAAUAUCAGGUUGAGUAAGGGAGAGAUAUUAGAGGCCGUGAUAAUUUAUUUAUGGUAAAGGAAAUAUCGAGUCGAGUAAGGAAGAGAUAUUGAAGGCCUCCAACUAGUUGUAUGUAUUCUGUAACAUUAGUUGGAGAUGAGCCGUCAUUGAGAACCAACAGAGUGGAAGAAAUUGGUGUUGACACCGGCUUAGCACCACACAUAGUUCCUCGGUCAAGUAGGUCGCGAAUAUAAUUAUGUUGCGAAAGAAAGAUCCCACUCGGAGUAGGAAUCACUUGAACACCCAGAAAUAAUAGAGGGGUCCAAGGUCAUUUAGAGAAAAUUUAUUGGAUAGAGCAUGAAUUAACCUAGAGAUGACGGCGACAUUAUUAUCUGUGAUCAAAAUAUCAUCCACACAUGCUAGCAAAUAGAUAAUGACGCCAUCAUAAAAAUAAAUGAAUAACGACACAUCUGAUUUAGACUGAACAAACCCAUUGGCAGUGAUAAAAGACCUAAGCUCAGUGUACCGUGCACGUGGUGCUUGCUUAAUCCCAUAUAUGGCGUUACGAAGACGACACACAUGAGUAGGGUGCACCCAAUCAAUAUCAAUAAAACCAGGAGGUUGUCGCGUGUAAACCUCUUCAUGAAGAGCACCAUGAAGGAAUGCAUUGUUAAUAUCUAAUUCUUGAGUAGGGCACCCUUUAGCAAGAGCUAUAUUCAAGACUAAGCAAAUUGUUGUUGCUUUAAUUACUGGACUGAAAGUGUCCUUGUAAUCGAUGCUAGGGCAUUGAUGGAAUCAUUUCGCAACGAGUCUAGCUUUAUACUUAUCGAUGCUUCCAUCUGAACGACACUGAAUGAAAAUAUUCACUUGCAACCUGCAAGGUUUUGGGAGGACGUUGCAGGAACGAGCUCCCAUGUGCAAUUUUGUAUUAAGGCAUUGAAUUCAGCGGACAUUGCCUCUCGCCAUUUCGGAUAUUUCAUAGCUUGAGAGAUAGUUGUGGGCUCAAGAAAAUGAGGUAAUGGAUGUGUGGUGGUGGCAAAGACUUGUUUUGGUUUAUAAAUGUUGUUUUGUGAUCGUGUAACCAUACGAUGGGUCCGUUGUGGUGGUGGAGGCGAAUAGUUAGGAGUAUUAAUGGAAUAAGAGGAGAGUAGUGAGGUGUCAUUUUUGGAUGAAGGUUCAAGGUUUAAAGAAUGAUCAUUUAGAUUGUGAGAGAUAUGGUCUGUUGGUGGAACAAGUAUAGGAUUAGAGUUGGUAGCUAAUGGUGAAGAGUUUGAGCUUGUGGCCUUGUGGGAUUGCUCUCAAUAGGAAAGAUCUUAUGUGGUGCUAAAUGCAUUGGAUGCAUAUUGGACUGGCAUGAUGACUUAGGUACUGGGGUCAUGGAACAAGGCUCGAAGUUUGAAGGCGAAGCUGUUGAAAAAUAGAAACAGCAGGAAACUGAGAUUUAUCAAAUACUACAUGCCUUGAAAUAAAUGUUUUAUUAGUAGUUGGGUCAAAUAAUUUGUAGGCACUUUGCGCAAGAGAGUAGCCAAUAAAAAUGCAUGGACAAGAUCAUGAGUCAAGUUUAUGCUCGAAAUUUGAAGGCGAAGCUUUUGAAAAAAUAGAAACAGCAGGAAACUGAGAUUCAUCAAAUACUACAUGCCUUGAAAUAAAUGUUUUAUUAGUAGUUGGGUCAAAAAACAUUUGUAGGCACUUUGCGCAAGAGAGUAGCCAAUAAAAAUGCAUGAACAGGAUCCUGAGUCAAGUUUGUGUUUAGAGUAAGGACGAAGCCAAGGAUAGCAUAAGCAUCCGAACCGCUCAGGCAAUUUGGUCGAGAAUCGCCACUCCGCCGCCGACUUCAAUCCGUCGCAUGCGUGCUACCUCCCUUCUCUUGAUGCCAUACGGCUUCAAGAGAAACCGGCCACCUUAAUUAAUUAGCCUCACUGUAUGCUAAUUAAUUAAGCUUCAUGCACCCUCCAAGAACCGUACGGUUCACAAGGCCGGGAUGCUAAUUAAUUUGGCCUCCACCGCUCUCACCAAGCGGUACAUGCAUGUAUAUAUAUAGAGAUGGAUUAGAUCAAUCCUACUCUAAUUCAAUGUAAUCUUGUAUGGAAACCAAUCCUAGUUCAAUCAGGACUCCAACUUAAAUUAGGAUCCACCAAUAAAAAAAAUCCUCAUGAGAUCCUUUCCUUUAUUCCAUGCAUAUACCCGGUGCAUGGACCAAACCAAUAAAAAAAGAAGGCAUAAUCUCUAACACCAUCAACAAAUCCCAUUAGAUCGUAGCCAAAAGAGAAGCGCAUUAAAUUGUGCACGCCAUGACGGAUAAUUCAAAGAUAUUAUUUUAAGAGGCAAUUGCGUUGUUGCAUUGAUAGAGAUAAGACUGGUGCUUGUAUUCUGUGGUAAAGAGGUGGAGGCUACGUGAGGAGGACUAUUAUUUGCAGGAUUCUCUUUUUCCAUAGCAGAGUAUGUUGCCAGUUAGGCUUGUAACUCUGAUACCAUAUAAUAAAAAUAUUGGGUUGAAAGAUUAGCACACAUUUAUUUAUUAUUAUUCUUCAAGAUAAGUAUAUAUAUAUAUAUAUAUAUAUAUAUAUAGUAUAUUAGUAUUUAGUAGUAGCAGGCUGCUGUGCUCUCAGGAGCACGGGAGGCCUCCGUGCUUCUGAGCGUUUUUGAUGAUAGAAUUUUCGAAUCGAUGAUCGGCUUCGUUAGACUGAUCUAGCGCAUUUGAAGUUUUUAGAAAAUAAUUUUUGCGUUUUUGAUAUCAUUUACCUAGUGAUCGAAAGGAUUCAAAUUUCAUAAUUUUAAGGUUGAUAUCUGUCAUUUUCAAGUUUAACGGUGUAGAAGAUUCAAAUCAGUUGAAAUUUUGAUACAAAAUUCUUUUAUACUAUCUACAAACAAAAUCAAUAUUUCUGAUCGAAAAUAUUUUGUUUAUAGGAUUUUUAUUUUCAGCCGUUAAAAAUUAUUGAUUUUGAAUCCUUACGAUUGCUAGGUAAAUGAUAUCGAAAAAUCGCAAAAAUUAUUUUCUAGAAACUUCAAAUGCGCUAGAUCAAGUCUAACGGAGCCGAUCGUCGAUUCGGAAACUCCAUCAUCGAAAACGGCGCAGGAGCACGGAGGCCUCCGUGCUCCUGAGAGCACAGCAGCCCUGCUCUAUAUAUAUAUAUAUAUAUAUAUAUAUUGGAAGAAUGAAUGUAAUAAUUAUGUAAAUUUUGUAUUUGAUUUAAAGAAAUCAAGAUACAACGUAUGAAUGUUUAGUUAGUUUACUAUCACUUGUGCUUGUUGCUUGCCCUCGUGCAAGCCAUGUAUAUUGAAAUGUUAUCCUGGGAGUUGUUUAUUUCUUUAUACGUGUACUCGUUGUUGUUAAGCUUUGGGCGGACAGGGAAGGUGCUGUCCGUUCAGCAUCUGUGUACGGGUCCGGAUCGACCAAAUUAACGAUAGCGGGACGUGACAGAUAAAGUCUAUCGCCAAUUUGGUCGAUCCGGGCCCGUACACAGACGCCGAACGAACAGAACCUCCUCUGUUCGCCCAAGGCUCAACAACAACAACAAACAUGUAUAAAGAAAUGCCCAGAAAAAAUUUCAAUAUAUAUGGCUUGCACGAGGGCAAGCAACACAAGCAAGUGUAAGUAAACUAACUAAAGCAUUCAUACAUUGUAUCUUGAUUACUUUAAAUCAAAUACAAAGCUUACAUAAUUUUUACAUUCAUUCUUCCAAUAUAUACAUUGCCAUCUCUCAAAUGAAUAAUUUACAUUUACUUUCAUCAACUAUAAACAGAUGAAAUAAAUAAGGUACAACUAUACUCAAUGGAUGUCCACUAUCUAUGGAACACUGUCCAUACCACGAUCCUUGAUCCACCCCGCACGAGCUAGAACCUGCAUGGUUAGUGGGGUGAGAACUACUGAAAGUCCCCAGUGGGUUCGGCCGCCGACCUCGCCGAAUCACCCACUAGGUCUAUUUAGGCAUAUGUAGGCAAAAAAAGAGACUAGAUAGUAACCAGCUAUAACAUGUAACUACUACAAUGCCUGUACAAAGCUGAAAUCAACAGUAAUUACCAUAUGAAAUUGAUGCAUGCAUGCUGUUAAUCAUUAUUACUCAAUCAAACUGGUUAACCAUUUGGUUAACUAUAACUCACUAUAAAAUCCCUAAUAUCGGAGAGAAUUCCGCUACUAACCCGACGGGACCGUCUGCUGGACAAGUACGUUAGUCCAUGGGCAAGUACGUUAGCCCAUCGUGUGACAACUCCGGAGUGCACUGCUUGGGUGGAGCGACCACCGCCAAGCUAAGAACAGACUAUGUGAGUAUGAUACAAUCCUCGCUUAGAGGAUACAUUGACAAUGCCACACUUUAACUCUAACUAGCUCUUUAUGCUAGUUUUACAAUUCCAAUCUCGAUGCUAACCAAUUCUCUAGUCAUAAUGUCAUCAACUUCACUAUUGUCAUGGUCCACAAUAAUCCACAAUAAAUUCACACAUUCAUAGGGUUCUAUGUCCAUAUUCUAUUGUUCACAUGUUCCUUACAUUGACAGAAAUUCAAUUGCAUAAUGAUAAUUUCCCUAUAAUGCAUCUAUAUGUAUGCAUAUGUAUGUAUACUUGUGAAUAGUUGUUGGGAGAAUGAAACUUGAGCUAAGUAUCAGGAUUGGAACAUGAAAACCUGAGGUAAGGCUGGUAUGUAAGUUCUCUAAACUACUUGAAUUGAGGCUUGGAUGAUUAUAUAUUUCUAUACAAGUUAUGUAGUAGCAGAUUAUGUGAAACCUAAGCUCGAAAAUAUAUAUAUAUAUAUAUAUAUAUAUAGAGCAGGGCUGCUGUGCUCUCAGGAGCACGGAGGCCUCUGUGCUCCUGAGCCGUUUUCGAUGAUGGAGUUUCCGAAUCGACGAUCGGCUCUGUUAGACUUGAUCUAGCGCAUUUGAAGUUUCUAGAAAAUAAUUUUUGCGAUUUUUCGAUAUCAUUCACCUAGUGAUCGAAAGGAUUCAAAAUCUAUAAUUUUUAAUGGUUGAUAUCUGCCGUUUUCAAGUUUAAUGGUGUAGAAGUAUUCAAAUCAAAUGAAAUUUUGAUACAAAAUUCUUUAUACUAUCUAUAACAAUAUCAAUAUUUCUGAUAAAAAAUUUUAGUGCUAUAUCACCACUUUUUAUAGUUUUUUUAUUUUUAGCCAUUAAAAAUUAUUGAUUUUGAAUCAUUUCGAUUGCUAGGUUAAUGAUAUUGAAAAAUCGCAAAAAUUAUUUUCUAGAAAUUUCAAAUACGCUAGAUCAAGUUUAACGGAGCCGAUUGUCGAUUUGGAAAUUCCAUGAUCGAAAACGGCCCAGGAGCACGGAGGCCUCCAUGCUCCUAAGAGCACAGCAGCCCAGCUCUCUCUCUCUCUCUCUCUCUCUCUCUCUCUCUCUCUCUCUCUAUAUAUAUAUAUAUAUAUAUAUAUAUAGAGCUAGGCUCCUAUACUAUCUAUAAUAUUGGGGCUCCGGUACUAGUCUUGUUUUCAACCUUAGAGUUUUCAAAUCAAUGAUCCAUACCGUUAAAACUGAUCUAGGGUAUUUGAAGUUUUUAGGAAUAAAAUUUUAUAUUUUUUCGACAUAGUUUACUUUAUGAUCAAAGCGUUUCAAAAUUGUCAAAUUUCAAUGGCUACUAUGGCAAGUUUGUAAUUUAACGGUGUAGAAGAAUUUAAAUUUAUUCAAAUUUUGAUAGAAAAUACUUUAAACUAUCAAAAUCAAGGUCAACAUUCUUGAUCUUGAAUUCAAAAGUUCUAUGCUCAAAUUUUAAAGAUUAUUUAAUUUCCACUGUUCAUUUUGACAUGAUUUACUUACUAAGUAAACGAUAUCGAAAAAAACAAAAAAUUUAUUCCUAAGAAUUUCAUAUAGGCUAGAUCAUAUUUAACGGUGUGGAUCGUUGAUUUGAAGACACUAAGAUCGAAAACAAGACUAUAGUACCGGAGCUCCGGUAAUAUAGAUAGUAUAGUAGCCUAAUAUAUAUAUAUAUAUAUAUAUAUGAGAGAAUGUUCUAAAGACUAAUUUACAAGAAAAAACAGUAAGGCACAUGGCAAAUAAUUAUCAGCUUGAUAUGUUUCCUUCUAUAGGAUGAUCCAAGCAAUUUCCCUACAAGUUGGGGUGAUUUUAAUAGUUUCUUUCUAUGGCAUUGCUGCAUUUAUUUUCCUAUUUUGAGGAUUAGAUUGCUCUAUUGAAUAUGAUUGAGAUUUGUUUCCUUCUAUAGCAUGCACUAGGUGCACGGGUGUAUAUGAGAGGGAAAGAGAGAAAGUCUUCUCAUGAUAUAGAAGACAAAAGAAGAGUUAGUGAAAUUCAAAAAGAAAGCUCGGGUUGAAACUAUUUUAUGUAAAAGAGGAGACAAUUGUAAUUCUUUUCUUAGUUAGUAAAUAUUAUUUCACCUAUAUUUUUGCUGUUUGAUUAUUUCUUGGUGAGAAUAAAGGUUUAUGGUAAAAAUCAGAUUGGACGCUUUUGUUGCGAAAUCCUAACAAUCAGUACGUGAAUGAGUUCCAAAAAUUUACAGCCAGUGGUAUGGGAGUAGGUUGCGAAUUCUCAACAGCUCAAACCUACUCUUGGCAUCAUUGCAAUUAGGUGCCACCAAGAAGUGCUUUCAACUCUUCUGUUGGAGCUUUUGGUGUACAAAACAUGUGCAUGACUUCAAAAGCUGAAACUCAAGUAAGUAUGAGAUAUAACAAAAUUAGGUUGAACCUCUGUAAUGUCCUUGUGGUGCCACCCUUCAACGUUGACGACAAAGCCACUCCGGAGAGAAGAGAGGACAAAAGAGGAGAAGAAAGAUAGAAUGAGGGGACGAAGCAAAAGGAGAAAAGCGUGGCAUUUGCCCAAUUUAUUCAUUUCACAUAUUGUAUGGAUAUGAAAAUACUAGGCAAACGAUGUUUACGCUAAACAAGUUCCAAUAUAGAAGGACUAACACGAAAGCGAAACUCAAACAGCAUGUAUCUAGCUCCUACGUGGAAAUUAAAACAGAGGACCUUGUGGGUAUUAUUACAUUUAACUUUCAAACUACUGCAAUGCAACUUUCGGUCCUAUUUAUUUCCUUUUCGAUAGCUUGGCAUUCUUGCUCUUUGAAGGCCUUAAGUUACAAUCUAAAUUAUUUACACAUUUCUUUCUCUUUGUUAAAAUUGUUCAUUUCCUUGUAGCAGCCUUUUACUGCCUUCAACAUUUAAUUAAUUAUACCUUCAAAAUUUAACUGUAUAAAUCACGAUUUUUCUCAUUCUUAUAAACUAUUCUCAAAUAUAUUUCGUCCUCCAAAGUUGACUCAAAAGUACUACUUAGAAGUUUCUACGUUAAAUGCUCGAUACUAACAAGUUUUCUGCUUCAGGGCAUGUGUUUGUUAACCUUAGCAGUUUCUAUACCAGCACUGAAGCCACCGCCAUGCAAAGAAAGCUGUCCGCAAGCUUCAACACUACAACUUGGCGUAUUUUUCGCUGGAUUGUACAUAGUUGCGCUAGGAAACGGUGGAACAAAACCGAACAUUUCGACCAUCGGUGCGGACCAAUUCGACGAGUUCGAUGCUAAAGAACGAAUGCACAAACUUUCCUUCUUCAAUUGGUGGUUCUUUAGCAUCUUCCUGGGGACGCUCACUUGCAGGACAAUGUCGGGUGGGCAAUUGGAUAUGGUAUUCCGACAAUUGGUCUAGUGAUCUCGGUGGCGAUUUUCUUGGUCGGCACACCAUUUUAUAGGCACAAAGUGCCACAAGGGAGUUCGUUCGUUAAGAUGGCGAGGGUAUUAGUUGCAGCAGCAAAGAAAUGGAGGCUUAAGUUACCUAGUGACCCGAAGGAACUCCAUGAGCUGGAUUUGGGCGUUUACGAGAAGAAGAGAAACUUUAGGAUUGAUUCGACCAACUCGAUGAGGUUUGUAAGAUUUUAUUUAUUUCUGAAAUGGUGCAUUCUUAAUAUUAAUGAUGAAGAGGGCACCAAUAUGUAAACUUGAAUUGUUGAGUCAAGGGGUAAAAUCAGCAGAAACAAACUACGACAAAAAUGCUAAGAUCUUAUACUAAUACAUUGUCAAGUUACUACGACAAAAAUGCUAAGAUCUUAUACUAUUCACAAACAUCGCAAAUUAAGCAUUCUAUUAAGAUCUUAUACUAAUUACAUUGUCAAGUUACUAAUUUUCAUAAACGAUUUCAGGUUCCUGAACAAAGCUGCCGUUAAAGGCGGUUCUGACACCAAGUGGUCCUUGUGUUGCGUAACACAAGUCGAGGAGACAAAACAAAUUCUGCGAAUGCUUCCGAUAUUGGUCACAAUGUUCAUUCCAUGCACAAUUAUCUCUCAGACGAAUACCCUCUUCGUCAAGCAAGGCACGACUCUAAAUCGACACAUGGGUCGUCACUUCCAAAUCCCUCCGGCAAGCCUAGGAGCGUUCGUAACACUAACCAUGCUCAUCUGUGUCGUUCUCUACGAUCGUUACUUUGUAAAGAUCAUGAAACUGUGGACGAAAAAUCCAAGGGGGAUCACGCUCCUUCAAAGAAUAGGAUUCGGGUUACUCCUCCACAUCGUCACAAUGCUCGCUGCGUGCUUUAUUGAAAAGAAAAGGCUAAGCGUCGCAAGAAGUCACGGGCUAGACAGAAGUGGGGGCCAAGUUCCGCUGACCAUAUUCAUAUUACUUCCUCAAUUUGUUUUCAUGGGAGUAGCAGAUGCUUUUCUAGUGGUGGGGAAGAUAGAAUUCUUCUAUGAUCAAGCCCCGGAAAGCAUGAAGAGUUUGGGGACUUCAUUUUCUUUGACAGCUUACGGUGUCGGGAACUUCCUCAGUAGUUUUCUCCUUGCAUUCGUGUCGAAUAUAUCGAAAAGAAGAGGCAAGGGGUGGAUAUUGAACAAUUUGAAUGCCUCGCGCCUGGACUACUACUAUGUGUUUCUUGCAAUCCUCGGUGUUAUUAAUUUCAUCUUAUUCUUAGCUCUGAGUCGCAUUUAUAUCUAUAAGUUGGAUCUAUCCAAGUCAAUUGAUGUAGUGACUGAAGAUCGAGGGGCAUCGGACUGCCAAGCAGAGUCGAAGAGUUAAAACCGUCGUCGAAUAUAUAGCUGCUUUUGGAUACAGCAAUAAAUUUGUAUAAAUGUAUCACUGUUAUUUGGAUACAUUGAUAAGUUUGUAUCAUCUUUCUGUUUCACCAGCCAUAUGUUUCAACAUGUCACACUUAUACUAAUAAGAACAAAUUAUGUAUUAAUGCUUAUAUAUAUAUAUAUAAGAUAAUAUUGAUGCCCCAGUAAUAUACUUUCUUCUUUUUUAUUUUUUUAUUUUUUUUUGAAAAAUCUGAUAUAGAGAUAACUCACCACUCACCAGAGAUGAAAUUGAUUAUUAAUUUCUGCGUCCUGCUUUUCUCUGCUGUAAUCCGUAAAUUUUAGUUUAUUGCAUUUGCUGGUUCAAACUAUGAAAUUGUUCUAAUAUUAGUCGUAAAUUAUAGAUUGGAUGGGUGUUGUAGUCAAAAGAUGUUUUUCUCAAUGGGGAGGGAUUGGCCCCACUGGGACUUGGUCCAUAAAAACCACGUUUGGUUCGUACAAGAGGAGAAAUAAAUUCUUCUUUUCCUACUGGUUUUCGAACGCUGUGUUUGGCAUUUGAAAUGCAUAGUUUUAUUUUCGGAUUUCUGGAAUAAGUCGGUAUAACCCGGUAUAGGGCUUGAACUGUUGUUCCAUCCUUUUUUCUAGACAAAACUUAUUUCCAAGUAGAAACAAUUAAUUUUAAUUAUUGUAUUAAAUUAUUAAUUAAUCUAAUUAAUAUAGUUGAAUCAUUAUUCAUUGCUUAAAUAAUAAAAUAAUUAAUUAAUUUAUUAUAUAUAAUUAAUUAGCUAAUUAAUUAUUAAUAAUUUAAUUUGUCUAUCCAUAAACUAAAUAUUUAUAUUGAUCAACCAUUAAUAUUUCUAUUAAUCUAAUUAAUUUUUUACUAGUUAUCCAACUUAAAUAAUUUACUAACUAAUUAAAAAUUUAAAUUAUACUUUAUAUUUAAUUAAUUAAUUAAUAUAUUUUUAUUAUCUUAUACAAUAUUCAUAGUUAAUGAAUUUAUUAAUUUAUUAAAUUAUUUUUAAUUAAUAUUUUGAUGUUAAUUAAUUAGAUUUUUAAUUUAAAAUUAUAACUCUUAUUCCUCUUGUUCCAAUAUAAUCAUCCAAAUACUAUUUACCUUAUUCUAAAAAACAACCAAAUUUUCAUUUAAACACAAAAUUGAUCUGAUUCCCUAUUUAUAUCUGAAACUUGUAUUUAUCUCUGGAAUUAGCAGUUCUUAUUUAUAUCCGUACCAAAAGUAGCCUAAACAUAUACCACUGUGACAAAGUUGACAUAUCUACCUAAACAUUGUUGACUAACUAGAUCCUUCUAAAUCAAAAGGUGCGUAUAAACGAAUAAAUCAUCCCAUAAUAGUUGAGGCCGAUCAUCUUGCAGAAGGAAUUUGCUAUCCCUAAAUAUUGAGAUUAUGCUAUUAUCUCUCUAUGAUAUGUAACUAGAGAGAACAGAAAAACAACUUAACAGGGAACAAAUCCAAGGUAUCAAGGAUCCAGAACUUUUUCAAAUAUCUAGUAUCCCUCAAACGCAUCAAUGAUGAUAAUAAUGAUGCGUUUGAGGGCUUGUUUAGAUGUCAGAACAAAAUAUCCAAUAAUAACAUUUUUCUCAUGUGAUUGGAAACUAGAUGUUUAAUUUUUUACUCGUUUAAAGGUAUUGGCAUCAACAGUACGGUAGAAUACUUCACUUAUCAAAUUAUCUAUUUUAUAAUGAAUAAUAAUUUGCCUCAUUUGUCAAAUACUAUAUACUUCUUGAUCGAGCAGAUCAAAAGAAUGUUCUGAAUAAGUUAAUACAUGGGACUCGUUUCGUUCGUGCUAUACAAUAUUUCUAAUUAGUUCAAUAUAACUAGAAAUUUGAUUCCUGCAUACCAGAUUACUACUAAUGCUGUAUCAUAGAUUAUGGUUCAGUGUAGUAACGUAACGGCGGGUUAUUGCACAGGCAAGAUUGUUGUAUUUGGUUUAUCUCAUAGAUUUAGGUAAUCCUGGCAACAAAGUUUAUACUAUUUCAAUUCAAUAAUACCCUUGCAAUCAUAUUCAUUUAAAAUUUCAAUGUAAAUUUGAAAUUCAAGGACCCUAAAAAUAUCAUGUGCUAAAUUAGAAUGGGCAAGCAUGUUCCCCACCGUCUCCCUACCCGCUACUAUCCUCCCCGACGCGGUGGUCCUAGUUAUCCCUGUCCACCUGCCCCUCGUAACCCUCCACCCCCUCCUGUCCCUUGCAACCCUCCGCCCCCACCCUUUUCCAACCUUGCCCCUGCUUCACUUGGAGAGUCACAUGUCCGUCACGGGUUCUCUUUCAAGGAUGCAAUCUUGACCCCACUUCCCUUUCGCCUCUCUCCCCUCUCGACCCAGAAAGUCGCUGCCCUAAUCCCUCCCUUCCUCCCCACCCACCCAACUUUCUUCUCAACCCUUUCCUUAAGGGACGCUGUUUUAGGUGCUUUAAGAGGGGGCAUCGUGCCGCCCAUUACAGAGAGCUGCGGCACUGCCUCCGCUGUCACGCUCCCGAUUCUUCAUUUUUUCGGACACGCUAACAGAUCCGGCGUGUACAAAGAAAUUUCUCCUGUAUACGAAGCGAAGCUGUACAUGUACCUGCAAUCGUACAAUACUACGACCAGUAGUAUAGAGUUGCUAGAAAGGAACAAAACAUAAAUAAAAAUAGAAGUUCACUAUACAUACAUAACAUCCAGGUGUACAAAACGCUUGCUCCAGCGAGAUACAACAAGUAUGUAUAAGAACUCAAAACUACCACUACCUGUAGCUGGUAUACUCUAGAUCAGCAGCAACUGGGAAGGGAUCUAACUCGAGACUCCCUUUCCACGAUCUGAAUCAGUAGCAGCAGCAGCAACCGAAGAAGAAGGCUCUGCAAAAGAUUACAACAACUAGGCGUGAGAACUACUGUAAAAAGAAGUAGUCUUCAGUGGGUACCGCUACCGACCUCAACGGCUCGCCCACUAAGUCUACAGAUGUAUGCUUAAAUGAUAGUAAGAAAACUGAAAACAAUCUACAGCUAUAUACCACUACACUAUCAUGAUUCGACACUACUAUCUGUAGAAUGAAACAAGCUGAUCCAAACUCACUAGGGACUAUAAAUAUACCCGUCCCAGGGACUGUGAGUACACCCGUCCCGCCUGUCGAAGCUAUACAGCUACCUCCACACUAAACAGUCCGUGGAGAGCAAGUCCAACCAGGACACAACGACACAAACGCAAACGCACAAAGCCCGACUCCGGAGUGGCACUUGUGGGCGCUACACAACCAAGUAUACAAGCGUAUCUCUGUCGAGCUGAAUCAGGCUCUCACAGGCUAAGAUCAAAGUAAAUAGGGUCCAACUGAUCUAACAACUAAACUCACGUACCCUCGGCAUAAUCUGAUGCAAAAAACAGCAAUCUGGGUCCACCGUCAACCUCAACGGCAUCCGACAGUUCGGAACAGCCUAAACACUGCUGUAAAAAUAAGCUCGGCAUCCCAGCACGAGCGUAAUUACAUUCUACACUAUUCUGGGUAUCCACCACCUACUAACUGUUGUGAUACAAUCAAACUACGGCUCCUAGAGCUAAAUCUGGUAGUUUAAACAUAUGACGUUGUAGAAUCGCUGGUUUUCUCCUAAGUCAUAUCCAAGUCCAACAUAUAUAUAUAUAUAUAGCUAACAUAUUAGGCUCCAAUUCAGAUUUUAAUCAUGCUAAACCAAUGAAUCGAGCAACUACAAUAUGCUAAGCAAAACGACGUAUACAUGUUGACUAUAAUCAACUUAGAAGGAAAUCAGCAGAAUUCGGUAAGCAUCACAUUUAACCCACCUCUCGCGCAACUCCACGGCAGCAAUAAGGUCACGAGUAUGCUGGAAGCCUCAGCCGAACACACCCUCAACCAGCAACAAAACACUUUAAAGAUCUAAACACCAAAAAUCACCAAAAUCUAUCAAUCUACUAAAAUUCAGCACUUAAGCUUAAUUUUCUCACAACUCCAAUGUCAAAACUCACCUAGCAAUCUUCAAUUCAGGUGAGGAAGGUUCCAAAUCCAGUAGACUAUGAUGGAGAAUCACCCUCUGAUCCAAAACCCAGCUUCCUCCAAAGAUUGCAUCAAGAACACCAAAACAACUAAAAUCAGUCCAAAACCACCAACAGCAGAGUAAAACUCAAAAUCAACCAAUCUAACCUCAACCAAAAUCUAUCAAAAUGGGCUCCACGAAUUCCUCUUGGAGUCCUGAAUCCACCAAACCAAGUUUCAUGGAAAACGGAGCUUCCUACGUUGCACACGAGCCAAAACGCCGGCGGUUGCUGCUGGAAUUCUGCUGGAACUACAGUCCUCAAGCUUCAAUUUGUGGAAUUUGGAGAAAUUGGAGUAAGCUAAGGAGUUUGGAUGCAAUCUAAGCCUUCACUGUGAAGAGAGGAUGAAAAGAGUUCACUAGGGUUGAACUCUAGCUAUUUGUAGUGAGCUGGAAGGAUAAAAUAAGCCCCAUAAACAAACACUACAAACCUGCUACACCUGCAGGAAUGCGCACUUUCGGGUGCCCAAAACCCCUUUCUGGGCAUCCGAAACCUCCACGCUACACCAAUCCUCUUGGUCGGUUCCUCCGCCUGCAGUCUGCUGCGCCCAUAUUCUAGCCCGGCGGACCUCACCUACCACCAGCCAUGCGUCAGCUUAAACGAUAUUCAUGAGGUGAACUUUCGGACCUACAACCGGGCGCCCGAAACCAAGAUCCGAAUUGGCUUCCAGUUCAGUUCAAACCAGCACUCAAGUUCUGGGCGACCAAAUCUAGUUCUGGGCACCCGAAUCUGGCAAAACUCCAGUUUUGUUUAUUUGAGUGCGCCGAGUCCAUUUCUGCAUCCAUUUCGUGCAGAAACGACUCUGACUCAGUCUGACACUCUCCAAAUGUAUCGACCAGUCACUAAUACUAUAGCCAAUCCUAUCCAAACCUCAGGAACACUACAUCCUUCCCCACUACAAAAAGUUUCGUCUCCGAAACUUAAAUUCAUACCUCAAUCCGGAGUAUCAAACAGGUAGGGGUAGGACUCUAGCAUCACUGUCUCCGGCUCCCAAGUCGCCUCCCGCUCCUCGUGAUUACUCCAUUGCACCUUUACAUAAGGGAUGACCCGGUUGCGCAAUUCUUUCGUCUCACGAGCCAGAAUUCGCACCGGUCGCUCCUCAUAUCUCAGGUUCUCGCCAAGCUUUAGCGGUGUGAAGUAAAUCACGUGAGAGGGAUCGAAAACAUAUCUCUUCAAAGCCGAGACGUGGAAAACAUCGUGGAUGCCGACUAGCCACGGGGGUAGAACAAUCCUGUAAGCAACUGGCCCAACUCGCUCGAACACCUCAAAAGGGCCAACAAAGCGUGGACUCAACUUUCCACGCACUCCAAAUUUGCGUAUGCCUCUUGACGGCGAGACUUUCAGAAACACAUGAUCUCCAACCUGGAACUCUAAGUCUUGUCUCUUGGUAUCGGCAUAGCUCCUCUAGCGGCUCUGGGCUAUCAAAAGGUGUCGUCGCACUGCUCUAACCUUUUCCCCAGCCUCUAGUAAAAUCUCAGGCCUAGCGUCUUCCUUUCACCUACAUCACUUUAAAACAAAGGGGAUCGACAUCUGCGCCCAUACAACGUCUCAAAUGGAGCCAUCUAAAUGCUCGUUUGAUAGCUGUUGUUGUACGCAAACUCAGCCAGUCUCAAAUGUCGAUGCCACCCUCCUCCAAAGUUCAGGACACAUGCCCUCAGUAUGUCCUCCAGAGUCUGAAUGGUCCGCUCUGACCGAUCAUCCGUCUGUGGGUGAAACACCGUGCUGAAAUGUAACUGAGUACCCAAAGCUGUCUGAAGACUCCUCCAAAAGUGUGAAACAAACCUCGGGUCCCUGUCUGACACGAUCGAAAUCAGUAUACCUUGCAAUCUCACGAUCUCAUCCAGAUAUAGCUGAGCGAGUCUCUCCUUAGACCAGGUGGUGUAAUACACUGGAUCUUAGCAAAUCGCAAGAUUCGAGUGUUUGAUCUGUGUUUGGAGCUUUCCCACAGUUUUUGGAGGAUCGUUGAUAGUGUCCCGACCCCUGGCACGCAUCCCGAGGAUGUUGGAGUGGGACUUGGCACCAAAAUUCCAAAAUCGGAAUUUUUGGACAGCUCUCGGGUAGCCUGCAGCAGGGCUUGUACCGGAACAAGACUGGCCUUGUACCGGUACAAGGGUUGAUGGUUGUACCGGUACAGCCAUCGGACUUGUACCGGUACAGAGCCGCAGACCGCGCGACCCGAGCCUCGGGUUUGCAAUUUCGUCGGCCUUGUACCGGUACAAGAGCCCGUGUACCGGUACAAGGAGGCAGAUUUCGUGCAGUUUGUUCUGCAGGGGUGUUUUUGCUAUUGUAGCAAUACUAUAACAGCACCCACGCCCCUAGGGCUCUUCUUUGAGCUUGCCACUGCAGGGAGCAAGGUAAGGAGAGCUUAUCUUUGCUUCUCUUUGGUUUUAAUCUCCCUCUAGCUUAGAUUUUGAAGGAUUAAUCCCUUUUCUUUCCUCUUUUAUGCUUCUCCACCAUUGAUGGAGCUAGAAGCUUGGAUUUGGAGCUAAGUGGAGGAUAGAUCUUGGGAUUUAAAGGAUUUAGAGCUUGAUUUGAAGCUUCUAAGAGGUAAGCAUUACACUAUCUUCCUCUAGAUUUGAGUUUCAUUGGAUUUCAUGAGAUGAAACCCUAGAUUGUGAUAUUAGGGUUUAUUUUGGGCAUUUUGAAUCUAGGGCUUUUGAAGCUAGAUUGAUCGGAUUAGAGGCUUCCAUUAGGUUGGAUUGGAUGAGCCCUAGCUUCAUUUUGGAGCUUUAGAGGAGAUUUUGCACUAGAGGUGAGUUCUUCUCACCUAUACUUGAUUAGCUUAAUGAUUGAGCUAUUGAUGGUUCGUUUCGUUCGUGUGACGCAUGUUUCUCUACCUCUAGGGUACUAGGAGACUAGAGGACACCCUCGUUGGAGCGCACGAGGAGUUUCGUUGCCAUCGGUGGGUUUGGCUUCGGGGAAAUGGGGCGAAAUGACCCCUAUGCUCUUUCUACUUAUUGUAAAAUAUUUUUAAGUUCAUUUCUAUGCUAAAUGGGAUUUAUAUGAAUUUUAGAGCACUUAAAAUGCAUGCCUCGUGUAUUAUGAAAAUUUCACUAUAUAGUAGAGCUAUAUGAGUAGAAUGCAUGCAUAUGGGAAAAGUGUUUAUUUUACAAGUGGAAAAUACAUCUCUUAUGAGGAUUAUGACUUGGAAUAUGUGCUUUGGAACAUAGUUGCCAUGUUUUGACAUAGAAAACAAGAGUGUCAUAAAGGGGCACUCGAAACUAGUGAACUAUGGAACUGCAACAUAGAGAUAUAUUGAUAGGCCUUUGUACAUCUGCUAUAUAUAUUCCAUGUUAAAGACAUGAUGACAUAGAGAUAGGUCUUUGGGACUGUCACGCCCCGGGACCGGCGGAGGCCCUCCCGGUAGCGUGCCCAGACCCGCCAUAUGUCUGCACAUAUAAGGCGUCUACAACAAAAGCGAAAGUAAAAGCAAGAGAUAGAACAAAUAUAGGAAAUGAAAUAACUAGCAACUAAUGAUAUCAGAGCAAGUACAGAUCUAUCGUCUACACCAAGUAAAGAAAUAAAGCUAGACAAUAAAAGAAGCCAUAAGUAGUACAAUAUCUAUCUCAAAAGUACAACAACGGUGGUCUCUAGUACACUGGUAGAACUCUCAACCUCCCGCAAAAGGAAACAAAAAUCGAGAGGUAGACCACCUAGCAACUCGUCCUCGAAGGAAGCUAGCUCGAAGCAACUCCCUUCCCGCGAUCCCUGGCCUCACCCUGAGUGGAAGGCUCUGUAAAACAUCGAGAAAAAGAGGGCGUGAGAACUAUAAUUUAUAGUUCCCAGUGGGCAAUUACUGACCUCAGCUCUAAGCACCACUAGGCCCCAAAAGGAAAGGGUAAGUACUAUAGCAAUAAUAAGAGUAAUAGCAACAACAAUACGAAAGCAUAAAUGAAGUGCUAAACCGCUAUAUCUCAAGUAAACAUGAUGUCAUGGUGAUGUACAUCUCGUCCAUGUUUAGAUAAUAUGUCAAUAGCAUAAAGAGUAAGCUCUAACCAAGCAACGAGUAUCUACGAUGCAUAAUGAAAACGGUAAGUACGCUAUAUGCCAAUGCUAGUAAUCAUGGCAUUGUCAAGUAUCGAACUACUAAACCAUCUAGUAGGUGAAUUAUUAUAUUUGCAAACUGUCGAUUGUCCAUUUCCAAUUGGGGACUUCUACCAAUAGGAUAGUCCAGUUGUGCCGCCUAAGUGCCUGUGGGUUAGCCGACAUUCCUACUUCUGGAUGUGUCUUCCCACUCGGACCGUAGGCUUCUCAAUACCGCCACGAACGAACAUAGUCGCGUAGGCUAACUCCGGAUGCCGGUCGGCUUGUAGGAGCGACCUCACAAGCAUGAUGACGAAUAGCCACAAAUGGCAGCAAGCAUUGUCAAGUUCAAAUAAUCCAACAUCAUGGUCCCUAACAUGGUAUCAUAUACUAGCAUCGCCGAAGAUUUACUAAGUCACAAGUAUGAAGUUUCAAAGUUUGCUACGCGUCUAGUGCCCUGAUGAAACUUAGGCAAUUUGAUGUUCGACAUGUUUUCCAAAUCCCUCAAUGCCCUAUCUAUAAAUUCACACAAGUCCUGAGCUCAAUGAUCGCUGAUGAACUUAGGCUCUCCAAUUUCACAUGAUAUCAAGUUCGAUGCCUACAUAUGAAGCAAUUGUCAUCUUCAUGUCUCAAUUAAACUUAUGUUUAAACGCAUGAUCAUAGCUCAUUUAUCUCUAGAACCAUGAAAUCAAACCCCUAUAGAAUGCUAAAUGCAACGCAAGAUCUCCCAAACAACUCCUCUACUACAUAGAGUCCAAAGAUACAUCAUAUAUAACAUAUGUUAAGCAUUCUAAAAAUCAUAAUAAAUACAUUUAAUUGAAAAUGCAUAGAUUAAUUAGUAACAAAGCACUUAUCCACAAAUAUGAGAUUUUCUCAUAUCAAAGGCUAGGUCAAACCCACGACGACAAACGAAGCUUUUCGGUUGCUCCGAUGGAGGUAUCAUAGCUUCCUAGCACCCUAGGAAUAUCAAAAGGGUGUCAUCAAUCGAUACGAAGAGUAAUAAGCUCGAUCCUUUAACCUAGGAGCAAAAAGGGUCAAACUCACCUCAAAGUAGAAAUCUUCUAUUAAGCUCCAAAGAGAGCUAGGUUCAACCAAUCAAGCAAGGAAGCUUCUAAACCACAAUCUAGUCUCUUAAAGCCUAGAAUCAAAAUCCCUAAAUAAACCUAAGUAUCAAUCUAGGGUUCGCACAUCAAAAUUUUCAGCAAAAAUAUGAUCAAAGCGUCAAAUCAUGUUGCUAACCUCUCUAGAAGCUUCAAAUCAAAGCUACCAAAUGCUUAGGUUCCAGAUCUCUUCCUCCACUUAGCUCCAAUCCAAGCUCUUGGCUUCAACCAUGGUGGAAUAGACCAAAAGCGAAAAAGGAGAGAAGAAUCUAUCAAAAACAUGCAAAAAGGGGAUCAAAUCCAAGUGGUAAGGGUGGAGAGGAUUCCCUUACUUUUUCCCUGCAGUGGAGAGCUCAAAGAAAGGCCUAGAGAGUGGGUGUGAUAUAAGAGACCCACAAACGCAAAAAACACCCUGCCAGUACAAACUGUGCAGAAUUUGUCCUCUGUCCGGUACACGCGGAUCUUGUACCGGUACAAGAGCUACGAAAUGGAAAACAAAGGCUCGGUGCGUGUCCUGCGGCACUGUACCGUGUAAAGACCCGAUGGCUGUACGGUACACAUCAACUUGUACCGGUACAAGACCAUCCUAUGUACCGUACAAGGACUGUGAAAAUGCAAACCGAGGCUCGGGUUUGCGAGUUCUCGGUCGUGUACGGGUACAGGCCCACCUGUACCGGACAGCCCGCAGACAGCCAAUCGAGAGGCUGACCAAAAUUCAAAUUUCUGCGGUUUUGGUGCAAGGCUUUUUACCACAUCCUCCUCGGGACCCGUGCCAUAGGUCGGAACACAGUCAGACCUACAGACUAUGAAAAAAUCUCCGGAUAUCUGUCCAAGCACUCGGAACUCGCAAUUUUGCAAGGUCCAGUGGUCAGCAUGGGGCACUGCGAUACAUUCCAUGUUAUUAGAAUGAGGAUUGUACUUGCGACGAUUGUUGACUACUUGCCAGUGCUCUAUUCGCCAAUGCUUGUGAGGGUCGUUCCCUACAAGCCGGCACUCCGGAGAUAGCCAUCGCGAUACAUAUUCGCCGUGCGGGAUUGUGCGCCGAAGUGGAUUGCCGUGGACAGGCUCAUCCCUAGGGUGGGGAUGAUGACUACACGGGGCCAUUAGGCUCGGCACCGGCCAGACAGCCUACGGGUGGGUCUCAGGGCCAUAGACAGCCUUCGGGUGGGUCUCUUCAGAUUGGGCUAUAUAUAUAUAUAUAUCCAUUAUGACAUGUGGACAGAUGACGACUUAGUGUACUACUUGGACAUUGAUUAGAAUAGUAAACAACGGAACUUCACUAUUUCACAUUGUGAACAUCAUGAUAGUUGGAGACAUUUACUUUAUGCAUAGUUGCUUUCAUACUUAUGCUAUUCAUGCUAAGUAGAGAUAUCAUGUCGUAGUAGGUUACAUAUUUACUUACCUGUCGCCUUUCUACUUUUAUUGUCACUGACAUAUUUUGUAGCUUUGGGCCUUGUGGUGCAUGCACUGAAGUCAGUAAUUGCCCACUGGGAACUAUUUUUAAUAGUUCUCAUGUCCUCGUUUUAUGGUUUCCUUUUCAGAGCCUUCGGCACCGGCGGAGGCACGGGAUCGCGGCAAGGGGAUCGCGUAGCUAGCUAGCGAGGAGCUUACUUGCCUAGGUGGUUUACUCUUUCUUUUGUAGUUGAGAGAGAGUGAGAGUUUUGUACCCUGUAUAGAGACCACCUAUGUAUCUACUCUUAGCACUUGUAUUUGGAAUUUCCUCUUGUAUUUACUUUAUGCCUUAUUUAGUGGAUUUACAGCUUUUCCUCACCCUUUGUUGUAGCAUUUAGACAUUUAUUAUGCUCUGAUACUCCUAGAUGUCUUUUAUUAUUGCUUUUAUUAUUGUUGUUUUUAGACGCCUUAUAUGUUGAAGACAUAUGGCGGGUCUGGGCACGCGCCGGGCGGGCUUCCGCUGGGUCCCGGGGCGUGACAGGUGGUCUGUACCGGUAAGAAGUGAGCAGACGUAGUUAGUCUGUCCACUAUCAUCCAAAUAGCAUCGAAACCACUCUGUGCUCUAGGCAAUCCCAUGACAAAAUCCAUCAUGAUCUGCUCCCAUUUCCACUCGGGCACUGGCAGACUCUGAAGCUUGCCAGUAGGUAUCUGAUGCUCUGCCUUUACUUGUUGGCAAGUCAGACACUGAGCUACAAAUCUGCCAAUGUCUCUUUUUAUUCCAUUCCACCAGAAUUGUGCCUUCAAAUCCUUAUACAUCUUGGUUCCAGUAGGGUGAACCGUAUAAGGUGAACAAUGAGCCUCUUUCAAAAUAUUCUCUCGGAUCUCUGAAUCCACAGGCACACAGUCGAUCCCUGUACUGCAGUACUCCUGAACUGUCCACAGCAAAACCCACAGCCUGUCCCCUCUCUAAUUGCUCUCGAAUGCUCAGUAAGUGCGAGUCUCAAUUUUGUUUCUCCCGGAUCAUAUCGAACAGAGUGGGCUGCAAGACCAUAGACAUCAGUCUCGCAGUAGACCCAGGGGACAGAACCUCAAGUCUCAACUGCUGUAGCUCCACAAGCAACGGAGUAAUCAUCGUGGAACGGAGUAAUCAUCAGGCUCAAGCUCUGCACUUACUUCCUGCUUAACGCAUCUGCCACCACAUUUGCCUUGCCGGGAUGAUACUGAAUACUAAUGUCAUAUUCCUUCAGUAACUCCAACCACCGGCGUUGCCUCAGAUUCAACUCCUUUUGGGUGAACAAAUACUUGAGACUUUUAUGAUCAGUAAACAUCUCGCAGCGCUCGCCAUACAAGUAAUGCCGCCACAACUUUAAUGCAAAAACCACUGCAGCGAGCUCCAAGCCAUGCGUAGGGUAAUUCUUCUCGUAAUCCUUCAAUUGUCGGGCAGCAUAAAAAAUUACCCUACCAUGCUGCAUCAACACACAGUCCAAACCACUAUGCGAUGCAUCACUAUAGAUCACAAAUCCUUCCCCCAUCACAGGAAGGGCAAGGAUAGGAGCCGACGUCAACCUCUGUCGCAACUCAUCAAAACUCCUCUGACAAUCCUCAUUCCAGAUGAACUUAAUUUCUUUACGAGUCAAUCGAGUGAGGGGUAUGGAAAGCUUCCCAAAGCCUUCCACAAACCGACGGUAAUAUCCAGCAAGUCCAAGAAAACUCCGCACCUCUGUCACCGUCGUCGGUCUGGGCCAAUCCUGAAUAGCAUCAAUCUUCUUCGGGUCCACUGCUACUCCAAUUGCAGAAAUCACAUGGCCCAAGAAAGCAACCUCCCGUAACCAGAACUCGCACUUCUUCAACUUGGCAUACAACAUCUUCUCUCUCAGAAGCUGUAGUACAAUCCUCAAGUGCUCCUUAUGCUCGGUAUCACUCCGGGAGUAUAUAAAAAUGUUAUCUAUAAACACAACCACAAAUCUAUCCAGCAACGGCUUGAACACUCUGUUUAUUAAAUCCAUAAAUGCAGCAGGAGCAUUUGUCAAUCCAAAUGGCAUCACGGUAAACUUAUAAUGCCCGUACUGAGUCCGAAAAGCCGUCUUGCGAACAUCCUCGGCCCUCACCCUCAACUGGUGGUAACCUGACUGAAGAUCAAUCUUCGAGAAGACACAAGAUUCUUGCAGCUAAUUAAACAAAUCAUCGAUGCGGCAAAGGAUACUUGUUCUUAAUAGUAACUUUAUUCAGCUCCCUGUAAUCCACACACAAUCUAAGUGAACCAUCCUUUGUCUUCACGAAUAACACCGGCGCUCCCCAAGGUGACACACUGGGUCUCACAUACCCCUUAUCCAUCAGAUCCUGAAGCUGUGCCUUUAGCUCUCUCAGCUCUGCCGGUGCCAUUUGAUAAGGUGCCUUCGAGAUUGGUGCAGUUCCAGAAACUACAUCAAUCACAAACUCGAUCUCUCUCUCCGGCGGCAUCGUCAUCAACUCCGGGAAAAACACAUCCGAAAUCUCACGGACUAUAGGGAUAUCCUCGAGUCCCGGCGCCGCCGUAGGCACCUCCACAACCGUAGCAAGAAAAGCAACACAUUCUCUACUCAUCAGUUGUCGAGCCCUCACCGAAGAUAUCCAAGUGGCAAACAACGUACUCCUGCAGCCUUUAAAACUGAACUCCUCCUGGCCUGGCUCGCGGAACAUCACAGUUCUCGCUCCACAAUCGAUAGUACCAUAGUACCGCGCCAGCCAAUCCAUACCGAGCACAACGUCAAAGUCCUGCAGCUGCCCUAAGACCAACAGGUUUGCGGACAUGAUCCUAAGACCAACAGGUUUGCGGACAUGAUCCAAAAAUCUAACUGCACCGGACAUGACCAACAACACUCCGCAACCUGUAAAACAUGGUCGGGGAUCUGCACCUUUCGUGCAUGAGACAAUGACCCUAACUCUAGACCACACAACAAUGCAAAUGCUUGGCUAAUAAAAGAAUGCGAUGCACCGGUAUCAAAAAGUGUACGAGCUCUAAUGCCGAAAAUCAAAAUGAUACCUGCCACCACUCGGUCGGUUGCUGUAGAAUUCUCCACCUGAGCUGCAUAUACCUUGCUGCUCGGAGCUUGCUGUCGUCGCUUACCCUGACGCGGUACAGAUGCUCUAUCCUCCUCACGGUAACUCGGCGGUACCUCGUAAGACUGCUGGGGUGCUGGCUGAGCUGAUGCUGUCGAUGGUGCUGGUGAUGCUGCUCGGGGACAAGCUGACCUCAUGUGUCUAGGCUGACCACAAGUAAAAUAGCGGCCCUCUCUAUGCUACUCGACUAUCCUCCGUUAUCUGGAAAGGGAUGCUUUCUUUCCUGACUCUGCCCCGGCACCUGAGUCCUCUCCCGAAUAGAUGCAUCACCUCGCUCUACUCACAGGGCAUGCUCUAUAGACGCGUCCAAGGUCCUCAACCUUUGCGCCUAUACAAACCUGAAAAUCUCGGGUCUCAAACCUCGCUCAAAUAGGUAAACCCUGUGCUCCUCAUCCCUGGCCACAAAUGGGACAUAGUUCAGAAGUCGAGUAAACUCUCGGAUGUACUCCUGAACUAUCCGCUCCCCCUGCUUGAUCUUCUUCAGAUCCUCCUCGAGCUUCUGCUUUACAUUAUUGGGAAAAUACAUCCUAUACAGUAUGCCACAGAACUCAUCCCAUCUCAUCUACGAAGACACCACCAACCCGUAGUCUCUCAUCACGCUCCUCCACCAUGCAUAUGCAUCACUUGCCAAGCAGUGAACUCCCAGGUGUACUUGCUCCCGCUCAGGAAUGAACAGAUCCUCAAACAGUUUCUCCAUCAUGCUGAUCUAGCUCUGAACCCUGGCCUCUGUGCAACUGCCAUCAUAGGUCGGCGGAUCAAAACGACGAAAGCAGGCAAGUCUCUCAGCUAUCCGCUCCUGCUCAGCCUCAGUCAGCUGUGGUGCCUCACCAAAAGAUGCAACUGGUGCUGUAGGAAUUGACACUGGUGGAGGUACUGUUGCAGUUGGGGCUGCCACUGGACUAGUCGGAGGUGGAACUGGCUGCUCUGGUGCUGUACUCUGCGGCAGAGAUAACUUCCUACACAUCUUCUGUAACAACGCCGCCUACUGCCUCGUCACCUCUGUCAAGGCAGCAAACUGCUCACUCAGAUCAGGGGGUGUACUCGUCUCUGGUCGUGCACUGGGCUCUGCCUGCUCAGGCAUCACAAGAGGUGCGGCACGAUUGUAACAUACCAGAUUUUGGUAUAAAAAUAAAAAAUAAAUAAAAAUAGUGUGAGAAACUAUUUUUAUUUGAUUUAUAGAAGUAAAACAUAAGUCAGAAGUGACUUGUGCUGAAAUCGGAAUGAAAACAGAAGAUCUAGAAUUUUCUGUUGGAAACGGGACAAAUAAAUUAGCAGAAAGUGCACAAUCUCAGAAAAUUAUGAAAAGUAGAGGAUAAGUGGGAAAUAUUUUUAUGAGGCUAGAUUUAAAAUUUCAUAUUUUUCUGACACCCGUAGAGUGAGAAAUAAAAUCCGACAGCUAUCUGAUAAAGAUUACAGUUCGGUACAGUUUUCAGUGACCAAACGAGGUCGAAACUGAAAACUUAAGAUAUAUUCUUACUUAGUACGUUAAACAGAGCC
rnacentral:lncRNA from 1 species